rnacentral:lncRNA from 1 species
AAAGGAUGAACUUCAUCGUUCAAAAAAUCUUUAAAGUUUAUUUCAAAUAGAUUUUAUCAAAAGAAUUUAAAUAAUAAUAGAUUUUAAAAAUAUCUUUUUUAAUUAGUCAAUCCAACUAUCUCCUUAAUAGAUGUUUCAAUCGAUCGUUAAUUUUCUUUGAUUUCACUUUAUAAUUUGAAGAAUUAUUAAAGGGUAUUUAAAGCUCCAACUUGGAGUGGCUUGAGCAACUUGUAAUAGUUCAUUUGGUGUCUAGGGUAUGAAUAAAAUAAAGUUAAUUUUAACCCUCGUUUUUCUACAUUAAACUAUUUACAACUCAAAGAGCAUUUGGACAAUGGGUCCCUAACUUUGUGGAUGGAAAGAGAUAUUAUAACUCCAUACUUGUGCUCAAUUAUGGUACAAUUAUUUCAAAUAUUUAUUUGUUACAAUAUUUACUAUAUGUUAUAGUGUUUAUAAUAUUCCACACAUCAUCUCUUUACCUUUUUGUUGGUAGACUAAAAUAGACCUCACCCAACAUAACAACUAUUGACUAUAGUAAUCAACUCAACACUCUCACCAACUCUCUUCUAAAACAUUUUCCCAUAACUUUAUCCCCCAAUCACCUCCAACUCCCAAUUUUCACCAAGCAACUUCAACAAUCAUCACAAACGACAACUUAUGGGAGGGAAAUGAAUAUUUUGAAGGGAAUGGAUUGCUUAUAUAAAUUUAUUAUUUUAAAAUCAAAAGUUAACACAAAACAACAAACAGAGUUAAUUUUAAAUUAAAAUUAAAAGGAAUUCUUUUUUUAAAAUUAUUAUUUAGAAGAUAUUUGUUGAAAAGAAAUGUAAGACGAAGAAGAAGAUUGAUCGGAUUCAAACCUGUCCAAUUAGAAAUGAAGCGUUUAGGGCUGGGCCAGGCAUAGCGGCAACCACAAAAACCGCAACAGAUAUUUUCUCCGGAAAUUCCUCCAUUGCCUUCGAUAUGCAAAGCCCGCCUUGGCUGUGUCCUACCAGAAUCACCUUCUCCUCCUCCCCCACCUCCCCCAUCAAAUUUCUCAACGGCUCAACGUAUUCGUUGAACGAUUUCAGCCUCUCCGCCUCCCGGGGAUCAAUUCCAGCCCCCGCCAUGUCUAACGCUGUCACCCGAUGCCCCGCCGAUCGGAGCAGCGUUGAUAGCUUGUACCACGACCAGGCCCCCAGGCAGGCUCCGUGAACUAGGACGAAGUGCUUUCCUCCACCGCCGCCUACGUCGGUGCUAGGCGGCGGAUCUGAUAGGGAUUUGGUUAGUGUGGGAGAAAGAAAGAGGAAGAAGAAGAAGAAGAAGAGGAGAAGGAGAUUCAAAUUAUGCAUUAUUCUCUCUUUAAUUUGGGGAUUUUGAAGUUAUUUCAGUGUAUCCGGUGGGAUGUGUUCUUGGGGUUCUAUUUAAAUUUGUUUUAAUUUGGACUUUCACUUCACAAAAAUAUUAUGGUUUAAAUUCAAUGUCCCACCCUGCUUUUAUCCUCCUAAAUUUCUUUAUCUUUUUAAUUUAGAAAUUUUUUAUCAAAAUUGUUCAAUAAUAAUAAUAAUAGGACAAUUUGCAAUUGAGGUAAUUUUAGAAUAUGAUAUUUCCUGUCACACCCUUCUUUUGGUAAUUUUUAUACUUUCGGGUAUCAAAUGUUUAGUAUCCAUACUUUUUUUUUUUACAUUUUUUAAACUGUACUUGUUUUUUUUUUUUUUUUUCAUUUUGCAAGAGUAAUAAACUUAUAUUAUGUAUCGAAAGCUCUACAACAUAAUACAUAUGAUUCAAUUUUCAAAAUCUACGUUAAGAAUGUUAGUAGAUAAUAAAAUAUAUUUUUAAAAAUCAACGAUAAACUAGCAUAUUGAACUUAAAAUUUAUUAAAGAUGCACGUUUGAAAAUAUAUGAACUAAAUUUAAACAAACUUAGUAUCCAUAAGAUUUUUUUUAUGAUUCAAAAUUACAGUAGACAACGUUUUCGACAAAAGUUGAGAUUUAAAAUGUUAUAAUGGUGAUUGAGAUUAGAUUGGAGUUUCAAUUAUUAAUGAAAUUUGGUUUGGAAUAAAGUUUUGAAACGGGUUGAAUACUGUUUUUUUGAAAAAUGACUUUUUUGAAAUUUAGUUUGAAAUGAUGUAUGGAAUAUUAGAGUUUGGUCAAAUAGAAUUGAUUUUGAGUGAUGGAAGCAUUGAAUAAGAAUUAGAUAGCUGAAUAGUGGAUUGGAGAGCUGUGGGGCACGGAGGAGUGGUAAAGUUUAGUGUAUAGUUGUAUGAAGAAGUAAAUGUGUUGACUUUUGUUGGUAUACAAAUUUGUGACUUUUCCUACCAUAAUGUCUUUCAUAUUUAUUGCAUAUCAAAUUUAAAAGUAGGGGCAGUUUUUUGUUAGAAUUAAUUAGGUUGGUGUAGGAAGAUAUAGCAUGUAGUCAAAUUGGAGUCGCACCCAAUUGUCUACUUGUUAUCACAUUCGUGAACAUUUAAAUAUAGAUGUUUAGAGUCGUAGACAAGCCCAAAACUAAGGAGAAUCAAGAUGUGGUAUAGAAGAAUGCACACUUUAAAUAGAAAAAGUAAAUAUUUGCUAUAUUUUUAAAUAUUUUCAAUUAAAUUGUAAAAAAUUAAAUAACUUCUAAACAACCCAAACAUCCAAUCUUACUAUGUAACAUUAGGGGUUGGUAUUUUAAAAUUUAUAUUAUAUAAUUCUUUUUGUAAAAAACAUAAUGGACUUAAGUCUUGCUCGUUACGUAAACUUCAGUCCAUUUCAAACAAAGAAAAAGUUGAGAACCUUUGGUUAUAGCUUUGAAAGUUGGAAAAUUGGAGUUUUUCUUCCUUUUUUUUCUUACGUUUUACUUUUCUUUUGAGAAGAAAAAUGGAAAAUUGACAUUGUACUAUUAAAAUUAAUUAAUUGGGAUUUCCAAAUUUGAAUAGUAAGUAUGAGUCCACAAUAGUAUAGACUUCACCUUUUCUUUCGUAGGACAGAGAGUUUGGUAUUCUUAGUCCAACUUUGUUUUUAAUACCAAAACAUUAGCUUACAUCUUCACUUAUUUAAUUUUGUAAGAACCAAUAUGGAAGUAUAUAUACAUAUAAUAAAAAGAUGCACCAAUAUGGUUCACCUAACUCAAAGAUCGAUUUUUGUUGUUGUUAUGUUUAUUUUUCUCAAGUAUAAUGGUACUUUAGUUUUCAAACUAUUGUGGACAUUCAUGUGUCGCCUUAAACCAUCUCGAUCCGUGGAAAAACUCAAUUGUGAUCACGUUAAGGCUACUAUAAAUAUGGUCAUUUCUAAUGAGAUAAGAUAUAAAAAAUAGUGGUGAGAUUUGACGUAAUCAAAAUGUUAGAUUUUAUAUUUUUGUGAGAGAUGAAUUAUCCAUCAUAAAAGAGACUUCUCAAUCAGUCACUCAUACAAAAAUAACUCUUUUUUUGGAUAAACAAGUGUAGACUCUUCAAAUCUAUUAUGUAAAAUAUUGGCAUGUUCUUGUGUAAAAAGUUGGUAUGUAAUAGUGGGACUCAUCUCAUUUUUUAAAAAUAGCCACUAGUUUUACAUUGUUGUUUAUGUGUAUUUCAUAAGUGUAAUAAAAUGUGCAGUUGGCUUCAACAUAUGUAAUCAAAUUGAAUCAAAUUAUAUUUGAGAUUUCUUAGAACGUAGUUAUUUUCAUAGUUACCAUAGUUACGUAUAUUAUUAUAUAACACACAUUGAUAUUAUCAAAAAAAUGUGACAACUUCAAAUUAGCAUGUGAAAUGAAAAGUUUACAAUUCUAAGUAAACAAAAUUAAAAACAAACCAAUUAUAUUUGCAAUUAAGAAUCAUUACGAUUAAUAGCUUACUUUUACAUUAGGAUUUGGUAAACAUACCCUUAAUCCACAAUAAUUUUCUUUGUCCUCUCUAUCCACAAAUCACAUCUACAUCCUUCUCUUUCUCACCUUUAUCUUCUCCUUCUCUAUCUUUGUUUUUAAAAAGCAAAUUUAAUGUUAUGUGAUUUAAAUUGAAGUGGAAAUUCGGUAGUCUUUCUAGUUUUAAAGCUAAUUUUAGCAAAUUCUAAUUAUAAAGGAUAAAACCUCGAUGCUAAAAGCUGUUUUAUACAACAAUUUCAAAAGUCCAAACCUCAAAUUUUACUUUAUUAACUUCAACCUCAAUUUCUCCCUAUAUCUAAUUAGUUUUAAAAUAAACUAAGCAAUUUUUUUAUAAAAAAAAAAAGUUUAAAAAACUUUAGUUUUUCUUUUUAGAAUUUGGGAAUUCAAGCAUUAUCAAAUUUAUUCUAUGAAAUUUGAAAGAAGUAUAGAUAAAAAAAAUAUAAUAAUAAUAAAAAUACAAGAAAGAAAAACAAGUUACCAAACUUGGAAACGGAAAGGGCACUCUCCCCAUUCAAACUCAUUCUUAAGUAAGAUUAUGUAGGACUUCAUUUAUUUAUUUCUUACUUAGUUCAUACCCUUUUUUAUCCACAACCUAUCUCAACAACACACAAUAUAAACCAAAACAACAAACAUCAAAUUUAAAUAUACACAAAAAAGCUAUCCCCUAAUCACAAAUUUUAUAUAACAAAUAUUUACCAAUUCAUCAUCAAUCCAACUUCACUAAUACUAAUACUAAUACUACUACUCAUCAAUCUGCCAAAACUAAACCCUACACCCUAAAAACCAUUUGAACUUCAAUCUGUUUCAUGAUCGGGUGCAGGGGAAUACCAAGCAGGGAAUGUGCCUUUGCUCCUCAGCAAUCUCGUAAAUGCCGAAUCUGGCAUUCUCCCUUCUUCUUCUUCUUCUAUUUCUUCCGCAGAUUUUGGCAAUCCAUCUGGUAUUGGGCACUCCCUAUUCCCCCUUCCUUCCACUUCCUUCUUCCAUGCCUUCCUUUCCUCCUUUUCCUUUCCCUUGCUCUUUUGUAUUGCUGUUAUCCCGUGUACGCACCCGAUCAGUGAUUUCACACCUCCUGCCUGUAGAAUCAGUUUCUCCACUUCUUGUUUUGGCGAUUCUUUCUGAUUUCAAACCACAUAUAACAAACCAUUCGUUACAUUACUCUACAUGUAUUUGAUAGAAUUGAUCAAAAUUAGGUCUGGAUUUAAGUGGGAGAGGGAAAUUGAAUUAGAAAUUCAAUAAAAACUCACUCUAAGAUCUUUGAGUUCGAAACAGAGAUCGAAUUUGGGGGGCAAAAGAAAUCAAGUGUGAAAGAAGAGAAAAAAGUCGAAGUAAAAUAGAUUAAGAAAACCAUAGAAACUCACUUCAAGAUCUUGGAGUUCGAAAUACGCUUUCCAACAGCUAUAAGAAUCGUCUCCUUCCAACGUCGAACAAUAAUCUAAAAACAAUCGCAGAGGAUCAGAUCAGAACAAAACCACAAGAACAAAAAUAAUAAUAAUAAUAAUAAAACCUGCAAGCUCGUUCUCAGACUUCUGAAUCAGAGGGGGUUCUUUGAUGGCGCGAUCAAGCUUAGAACGGCUAAAGGGCUGGAGCUUGGGAAUAUAAGAAUGGCUCUUGGAAGAAGAACGAACAACAAGGGAAGAAGAAAAUGGAGAAGAGGAGAGGGAUCCGAUGCGGCGAAGAUGAAGGUCGGGGGAUUCGAGAAGUAAAGGAGAUGAGAGGGAACGGAGAAGGGAGGAAUCCAUUGAUGAUCCAAAAGGGGAAAGGGAAUGAAAUUUGGAGAGAAAAAAGUGAGGAAGAAGAUGAGAUGAGAGAUGAAGAAGAAGCGGAUAAGGAUGGGGAUUUGUUUUAUUUAAUUUGAUUUGAUUAAUUAUUGGAUUUGAUUUUAUAUAUAAAAAUAUCUAAGGGAGGGGAGGGGGUAGGUGACGUCAGAAUACACGUAUGAUGUGUUUUUGAGCGUUGGAUUGGGGUGAUGUGUGUGACGUGGACAGGGCAUGUUGCACUUUUUAAUCAUUUUUAAGAUAAAAAAGCGUAAGCGGUGGGCCUGAAUCUGCUGCGGACAUGGUAUACGGAAAACGCGGCUUUUGUAGAUUUAUUUAUAUUUUUAGGCUUCCAUUUCAAAUUUAGUUAAUGACUUACCAUUAUAUUUUUUAAAAUUUAUAAAAUGGCCAAAUUAUUUACUAGGACAUAAAUGGUUUGGGUUUUACAAACAUUUUCUAAAUCCAUCCCAAUUUUUGUAGGGUCAAAAAUCUAAUGUUAUGAACCCUAAAGUUAUAAAAAUCUUGUUCGAUGCUAGAUAGGAUGAAAACAAUCGUUAUCAUAACUUUCAUUUGAUUAGAGUGUAUCUCCCUUUAAACAUAUUUCUUAACCAACUUGUUUAUCUAAUUUAAUCUAAUUUUUUUUCUCUCUUUUGAAUAUUUAAUUUUAUUGACUUACAUUGUAUCAUGAUGGUUGCAGCAAUCUUAAUGUUAUUACUAUUAUCAAAUACUAAGAUAUGUUGUGGUUGUUCUUCUUCUUUCUGAUUCGUCCUUUGAUGAUGUUUCUGUUGUUGUCAAUCAUGUUUCAUCGUGUUCAUCAAAUCCAAUACAAUUUAAGGGUAUGUACAAGUUCAAUAGCUUGUCGAGCUUAUGUCAUGUCCUACCCUAAAUGCCACUUCCGACAACCAACAGGGAGCGUGCCUUUGCCUCAAACCUUUGCAUCAAGCCUAGUAAGUGGAACAGCUCACUUUAACUUGUCUCAUCGCGAAACCUUUGCCUCAAACCUUAUCUCUUUGAAAAGCUAACAUACAUUUACUUUCUCUACGGGGACGCUACCCCAAUCACCUAACAUUUAACAUUACAUGCUAGCUUCUUCUUCGCCAGCAACCUCAACACAUUACCUACUUCCACAAAAUUACUCUUAGACUCAUAUACUUCUUUUCACAUCAUCCUUUCUCCAAUCACAGAAUGCCUUCUUGGUCAAAAUAGCCUAUCUCAACGAAAUUCCUCUUCAACAGGACGCCCUUUUGGACUAGAUUCUGAGUUUUUUUUUCUUCCCACUUUCAGCUAGUGUUUCUUGGAAUAUUUAUGAACUUUAAUAUGUUUAUUAUAUAUAUAUAUACACUUGAGAUUUAUUUACUUAUAUAUUUGCGAUAAUAGUUACAAUGUAAUUAUAAGAUCAUAAUGUUUUUAUGUGUUUACCUUUUUAUUUAAGUGAGAACUUGCUAAUUUGUUUCUCAACGUUUCUUAUUAAAUUCAAAUUAACUUAUUUUAAAAAUAUAGCAUUGUGUACACAUAUAUGUUAUAAAAAUAAAGUAUUAAACUAAUAUGAUUUCGAGAAGGUCACACGUGCAUGAUAUUUUAUAAAAUAACAACAUUUGUGAACGGUAAUUAUUCCAAUAUUUGUGUUUUUAUUAGAAGUGUAGUGUAAUGCACAUGUGAGUCCGCAAUUAAUUUUGACUCGUUAAUAAGAUAUUCAACACCUAUUGUAAGAUCUUCGUAAUACGGAGGGAUUUAACAACUUUGGUUGAGGAUUUUUAUUUGAAAAUAACCAUUUAAAUCUCAACCCUAGUUUUUAUUUCAAAAUAAUCUUAAUCGGUUAAAUCUCAAUUCUUAAUAAUUUGGUUUUCAUAUUAGAAUUCAUUUAUUUUUGAAGUUUGAUUUUUAACCCAUAGCGAAUCUCUUCAUUGGCUUGUUUAUCGUCUUCAAUCUCUUGUUUCUCAUUACUAUGAUUCUUCAUGCUCUUCCUCUCUGUUGUCCCUUUCAAUUAUAUGAAAAAAAAUGGUUUUAAAAGGAUUUACUGCUAUGUUUUUUUUUUUCUCGACAAAAUAGAAUAAGAUGUUGUAUUUUUUAGAUAAAAUAUGCCCAAAUCUCGUCUAUAUUUUAUUAAUCAAAUACUAUAAAUGAUUUUGAGAAGCAAUCGACAAAAAAGAUCUCACCUAGAAGAUGCAACUUUUGUACCUUUGUGUCUUUUGAGUGAAUUUUUUUUGUUCUUCAAUCUCAAGUGUUUGAGAUUGUAUCUAUGUGUUUCAAACGGGAUCGUAUUUUGUUUAUAUUCUUUUUCUUGAAGAUCCAUUGUUGAUGUUAAAGUUGAGAUUGAUACUUCAAAUGUAAGUGCAUAAUGAAGUUGGAAAAAGGAGGGCCAAGACUAGAGUUUGCCACUUGAAGGUGUAAUUUUAGGGUUCUCGAUCACUUUGCCUUUUUCAUGUCUCACAUUUUCAAAUUAUGGAUGGAGGAGGAAAUAAAUGUGGCUAAACAAGGAUAUCUUUGAAAUAUGUUUUUAAAGUAGAGUAGAGCAUGAAGAGGAUUCAAAUCCUGCCAUAAAUUUUCUGAAUUGACUUAGUUUUCAACUUUGUUUAGACUUAUGUUACAGAAAAUGAACCUUUCUUGGCAUGGCACAAUCACAAGAUCUUGAGAUGUUUUCAGAAUUAGUCUUAAGUUUCUUUGCAAAGCAUGGGGAUCAUUGGAUCCAAAUAAAACAAGUACCAGAAUAUAGAAAUCAAGAUAUUAACUUAUUACUUUGUCUUUGGUUAUAAAGACUAUUGAAGAUUUUCUCUUGAUAACAAAGAAUAUGAUUGGCAACAAAUUUAACAUUUGGCUGACAGGCAAGUUAGUGGUAGUUGUGGGAUUGAUAUCGCUCAUGAUAUCUAGGUUGAAGACAUUAACUCCAGUUAGUUAUGUAGAGACCCGUGCGAAAAGUAAGUAUGGAAAUUCUAAAAGUAAUGAGAUUCACAUAAAAGAAGGUUCGCAGCCAGAAAUUUACACAGAAGAAGAUGCCAAGCUUUUGGGAGAUUGUGAAUCAAAAUGGGUUCUUGGUGUGGAUGGAUAUGGUCAAGAUGGAAAGCGUGUGUAUGAUCCUGUCAAUGGAAAGUCGUGUCAUCAAUGCAGGUAAUACUAUUUCCUGCUUUCCUUUUAUAUUUUAAAUAUACUGUCUCGCACACAAUUGUCAUUCAAAUCCUAAACCUUAAACCCUUAAAAGUUGAUAUAUAUCACAUAUGAUGUUAAUAGUUGAUUGUAUUCUGUAGGCAAUUGUUGAUUACUGGAUAUAUGUUUUAAUUUAAUAAGUUUCAUUAAGGAAAAAAGAAACGAAAUGAUACAAGGGCGCACAAAGAAAAGACCAAGCCCAUGAAAGGCACCCAACUAAAGAAAGAGAUGACAGCUUUACUAAAUAAUUCUUAUAGAAUAAUUAGAAAAAACUUUUGGAAUCAAACCCCCAGAGAAACUUGAAAUUUUCUAUUUUUUGUCAGGUUUUUACCCACCAACACUAAUAGCAAUGAACAAGAGUUUCCUUGACAGUAGUUAAUAGAAGCUCAAUCUCCUAGUUUCAUACUUUCUCAGUGUGGUUUGUUUGUAUUGGCCAAUUUAUAAUUUAUUCACAAAUAAGUGAAUCCUACUAAUAUUUUUCCGUCAAGUAAAAAUAAAUCUAACUAGAAAGUAAGCAUGAACUCCUAUCUAAAAGAGGGCUUUGGAGUAAAUCAUAUUUACUCUCCUUUUAACUAUCUCAAGACUGCUCGCCUUUGUGGAUAUUGAUUUCCAUGUAUCUUAAAUCUCUCAAGGUAUUCUUAUUUGAUCAUCAAUAUAGGAAGUGUUAUUUAGGCAAACUUGUUAAGAAUCAGGAGAAGAUAGUAAAGACUAUGAUAUAUUACAUUAUGAUUCCCAUCUCACUGAAUGGACUCAUUUGCUUACAUCAUGGUUUGUAGGUACGAUGUAAAGACUUGUCCUCUUUUUUUCUUAUAUUCUUUAAUAUAUAAGUCCUUACUAUCUUCUCCUGGUUUUUUAUCUGUGUCGUUAACAAUUAUCUGAUGACUUGCAGGCAGAAGACUCUUGGUCACCAUACACAUUGCAGCAAAUGUAAAUUAGGCCAGGGGCAAUUUUGUGGAGAUUGCUUGUACGCACGGUGAGUUGAUAUAUUCUGCUGAUCUUUAGAGGGAUAUGGAAUUUUCACUCUCUUUUCCUGAUGAUCUUGACAAUGCUUUUAUUCUGAUUAGUAUAAGAACAGAUUUGAUCAUUCCUGUAAGAUCCUGGAUUGGAUGCAUGUCCAUUUCAAACUUCUGCCUGAUAUAAAUGAAUACGUUGUAAUCAUAUUAUAUUUCUCUUUGUAUUCAAUUUGUUUUUAUUGAGAAGCCGAAGUAAGUUUCAUUAAACGCUAAUUAGCAUAGCUCUCCCCCUUGGAGGUUGGAAAUUUGAUCUCCCAUAGUUGUUCUACUAAAAAAUAUAUAAAUAUAUGUUUUACUAUCUAAAAGAUGGUUUAAUUGAGAAUAUGCAUUGGAUUUCUUGCACCUUUCUGCAAUUUAUAUGCACAGUUAACUGUAUGCAACUUCUAUUUUUUUUAUAGAUAUGGAGAGAAUGUGAUGGAAGUGAAUUUGAAUCCCAAUUGGGUCUGCCCGGUAUGUCGAAGUAUUUGCAACUGCAGUUUGUGUCGACAAUCAAAAAGAUGGAUGCCGACCGGUGCUAUAUAUAGAAAGGUUAGGUUCUAUGCAUUUACAUAUAGAGAUACAAAUGUUUUCCUUCUAGAUUCCAUCAUGUCUUUUGAUUCAAAAAUGAUGUAAGCUUUUGUAAGGAAACACUUGUAUAGCAUCGUUUUUCCUUGUUUAUACAUGGUGUGGAAGAGAUAAGUCAAAUUCUAGGAUUAGAUUAGUGGCCUGCUUUUUAAGUACUUAAAAACACUCCAAGAACUUGCAAGUCACAGUCCAAACAGACCGUAAGUUUAUGUAUAGUGUUUUGUCUUCUCCUCUGGAAUCAUAUCUAUAAGUACCGGCAAAGAGAAGCUAAAUUCUUCUUUGUUUUUCAAGGUCCACAAUUUGGGUUUCAAGUCUGUGGCUCAUUAUCUCAUUCAAACCCGUUGCAAUCAGACGAACCAGAAAGGCUCAAGUUCAAAACAUGUAGAUGCUGGAGAUAGUUCACAAGCUUUGGCAAACGACCCACAGCAUCAUGACUAUUCCCUGUCUUCUGGUAAUAGCCUCGACAUUGAAGGUACAAUGGAAUAGCCACAAUUUUCAGACAGUCGGCAUUUUAAGAAUUGGAUGGAAGAGGGGAGAAGAACGAUAAGGCUAAGUUGGAUUCUAACAGUUAGGAACAGAAUUUGUUUUUGGAUUGAUAUCAUAGUGGAUCUGAAAUCUCUAUUAGGAUAUGAUCUUGAUGAAAAAAUUUACUCUCUGAUCAAGAUCAUUUAAUUUUGUGACGUAACUAAAUAGAAAAGGGAAAGAAAAUUCCUUCAGAACUACAUCUUUUGUAUAGAAACUUUUAACAUCUAUGAUGGUCACUACUCUCACUAAUGCAGAAUACAGUUUAGCCAUGGAAAUCAAUGAUAUUAUGUUGCAUUAUAUAUGUGUGUGUUUGUCUGUAUUGAAUCUUCAAGAUUGUACAAUAUCUUACAAAAUGUUUGGACCAAUGACGAAACUAUAUUUCUUCCUAUGAAUUAGCCAUCUUGACACAUGCAUAUCAUAGCUCUGAACUAUGAUGAAGAAUAUCGGUUCCUUGCCUACAGAGCUGAAGAUGCAAAAGAUUUUUAACCGAAUGGGUUGGUGACCGUAUCACGAACAUCAGAGAAAAGCUGGUAGAGGGAGAAACGUCUGAGAUUGUCGACUUCAUACCAGGAGUUGAGGACUUCCAGGUUCUUAUCUGUCCCUGAAAAUGCAAGUUGUAUGCCUAAAUUGCAAUCAACAGAACCACCAUUGUACUUACAUUUGGAGUUUGGAAUUGCACAGUCUUGGUUGUCCACGCAUAAUGAGAAAUCCCCACUGCAUUUGUCACAUCCAAAUUUCUUCCAAAACAGGUUUUGAAGAAUUCCCCUUUGAAAUUCAAGAACCUGGAACAAACAACAAUUUUGUUAUCAGUACCAUGAUGAUUUUCCUUUUCCUUUUCCUUUUACUUGAACAUAGUUUACGAGCUUACCAAAGUGAAACUAGUUAUGGUAUUAGAAUUAUCAGUGAUCAUUACUGGGAGAGAUCUUGCUGCAUACUUUUGCCCAGCAAAUGCUACCAUAUACCCACCAUUCAAAGCCUGAAAACACCAAAAUUAUUAUUAUGUCCUAAUCUUGAUUCCUAAUAAAUCAUAUAACCUCAUGUAGUAAAAUCAUCUACCAAAAUCUUCCUUCAUUCACUAUUUCAGCAUUUGAAAAGUUAGUGACCUACCCAAGGUUUGACCAAUGCAAAAGAAAUUGUUUAAAGUGUAUGAUAUGGGUAAAAAUUUCCCUAAUUUGUGGUAGAUUUACAAAUGCUUCCAACUGCUCAGUACUCAGUAGGCAUAUUUGGAAGGGUAACACUUUAUGGGAAGUUAAUUAGUAUUGGUUGGAAUCUUGUUUCUAAUUUGGUAAAAAUACUCUAGUUGAAUGAGUUGUCAUCCAUUCUAAUUUCUAUUCUAUUUAUCAUGGAUUGACUUAUUAGUGCACUGCAUUAAAGGGUGAUGGAUAAUUGUGAGGUUUCUAGCCCAUUAAUUGUAACUACAAAACCAUCAACUUAAAUUAUUUUAUUUUUGUAACCAAAAUAUCAAUCUAACUUAUCCACAUUUUCAUUUUUAGUCCCAAUUUGUUCUCACCAUUAUUCAUGCAUUUAUUUUAAUAAUUCAUUCUGGCAGAGAUUGUCUUUCAGAAUUAAUAGAGUGAUUAUUUUGAAAGCUAAUUCCAAUGGAUUGUUUGAGUUGAUUUACUUGUUGACUUAAUCUGAUAUCGUAUUGGUCCGAAUAAAAACAAGAGAGUAUAAAUUGAAUCACUUACAAAAAUUUAUAUUUUUCUAUAGGAGUCUUCAAAUAACCGAUAACUUGAACUAUCCAAUCACAAAUUGUAAGGAUUGAGUUCGAAUUCAGGUUACAUGUUUUAAAAUUUGAGUUGACCCAAUCCAACCUGAAUUUCUAAUGUUAUUAAAACACAUACUACAACUUAUAAAUAUUAUAAUUCAUACAUAUUAUUAUUACUAUUAAGCUUUUCUUUUUAAGCAGGUAAUAAUUGAGCUUUGAUAUUUAAUAUUUGUAUUUCAUUUAAGUUUUAUAAUUUUUUUGGGUGGUCAAUUUGACUAACUCGAAAAUUCGGAUUGGUCCAAAAAAUCUUCCUAUUCAACCCAUUUAUAUUUGUAGUUUUCAAUUAUUAGUUUAAACCUUAGAUAAAAUACACUUUUUGACCCAUAUAUUUGGAGUUGAUAUUUAUUUGGUCAUCAUAUAUUUUAGUUCCUCACUUGUCAAAAUACCUUUAAAUGGUUGUUGAUUUAAAUUUUAGUUAACGUAAUGCUUGCUAGAGUGAUAAUGUGAAUGCUAAUAUACAUUUUGACAUGUUAAUUAUAUUUAAUUAGUUAGAAAGUAAAAUUAUAACCAAAUAAAACUUUCUAAGUUCCAAAUAUAUAAUAUUUUGAAACCAAAUAUUCCCAAAUAAUAUAUAUAUAUUCCCAUUGGGAUGUUGUUGGGAAGAAAAACAAAAACCAUUUCCGAAUGGAUGAAUAAAGCAUGAGAUAACAAUAAUAGAUAAUAAUAAUGAAGAGGAUAGAAGAAAGAAGAUACGAUGGUACACAUACCGGAUUGAAGGUGGAGGAAUUAAUGGUGAGAAACGAGAGUUGGUCGACCUUAGGUCUAAACACGACGAGCUGAGCCAUUUUAGAAGCCAAAGACAGACGAGUAUCACAAGGAGAAAAUUGAAUCUGAUCCUGGAAGAAUGAUUCUUUAGAAGAAAACGCUACACCAAAUGUAAAUCCAUCAGAUCUCUGAAUCUUUGAAUCUAAACAUGGACUAUACACAUCGUUCGUAUCGAUUCCUUCCACAACCAAAAGCAACAGCGUCACAACCAAAGCCACGAUCAUUAUCCUCAUCGGCCGCAUUGAUUCUAGCUAGCUUCGAUUAAACUUAUAGAAGCAUCAGAAUUAACCCGAUCAUAUUAUCAACGGAGAAAACCUAAGAAGAAGGAAAAAUUGAAAUGAGAAUUAGAUUAAUUAUUAGGUUACCUGUUGGAGUUGGAGAAGAAUUAGGCAAUACAAUUGUGAGAUUUUAUUGCAGAUUUCUUAUUGAUUGAGAAAUCAUUUGAAGAAGAAGAAGAAGGGGUUCUUCGUGAACGCGGAAAACGGUUACAUCGGCUGUCUAGUUGGAUCUCUCAAUAAAUACUUCAAAUUUAAACUACCUUUAAUAGCCUUUUCUUUUAACAAAUACUUUGUUUUUUUAGUUUAUGUUUUUAAAGUUUUUUUAAUUAAAAAAAAUAUCAUAUUUGUUCCUCGUCAGUUUCAAAAAAAAUUGGAAAUAAUUGUUAUUAACGGAAAAAAACAAAUAGUGAAUUUGUAAAUUUUGAGAGACCAUUCAACAAACCUUCAAAAACAAAAUAGAAAAACUUGUAUUGUUUUGAUGGUCAUCAACACUCACUAUCAAGUCAGUAAUCAUUUAAAACGACUAUUCAUUAAUUAAUCUCUCAUAUUAUUUACUAACUUAAAUUGUUAGAUUUAUUUCACUAAUGACUUUCAACUAUGUGUAAAAGCAUAAUACUUUGGCAUAAUUUUUUUUGUCUUCAUAGGGUUUGCCUCCUCGAGCUCUAUGGUCGUCCUCGUGAAUCCAUACUAUGAACUAAACUUCACCCUUGUUGCUCAAUCUUGUCUUUACAUUUUGACUUAUGUUUUUUCUAACUCAACGUUGCAUCAAUCAAUCUCAUUAUCUCUGACAUUUUGAAUUCAUAAUGAUACACACAUUAUCAAGGUUGCUAAAAUAAUUUAUUAGGAAUGAUUUGAACUAAUUUGAACAUUUUAUCAUUGGAUUCACAUCAAUAGUGUUUGUAACUCUCUAUGGGUAGUUUAGUGAGUAAUUAGAUGUCCUAUGAGACGGCUAUAAUGCUUGGUCAAUCCAUUGGUAGUUGAUAGUUAUAAUAUAACCAAAGUAAUAUAAAAUCCUAUUGAAUAUUGAUGUUUUAGCCAUAUAGUGUUGGGCUACCAUGCAUGGGAUUUGAAUUAAUUGCUUGUUUGGGCAGCUAUAGACAAUGCAAUUGACUUAUGUGGAUGUGUGUUUUUAUAUGGAGAGGCUUUUCAACAUCCAUCCAUUUUAACACAAUUGAAGCAUGACAACUCUUGUGUGCAUGCCAACUCAUUAGCAAAUACGCAUUCAAAGCUUGGCCUUCGUGUUCAAACCUAUAACCUAUGAAAAGAUGCACAAUAACGUCAACAUCGUCCUAAACUAUUUUUCGAAUAAUAUACCUUUUAACAUGCUAUAAAUAUGCAUAAUUGUUUUCUGUUUUAGCUUUAUAUUUUCUAUUUUUAAAAUUCACUUAAUUUUAUUAUUAAACUUACGAAUAAAUCCAAAAAUGUAAAUAUAACAAUGGUAAAGGUUACGGAAGGACCAAAAGGAAGAUCUCUCAACUAUUAGAAAAGAGCUAUUAAUUAGUUUUUACCUCUAAUUGAACACUGAAUGAUGAGACCUUAAUUAAUUAAUGUGAGACAAAUAAGAAAAACAGUUGAUUUAAUUAUUGUUUUAAGUCUAUCCUAAACUGUAGGUUUUAUGUCUUAUUUUUUAGAAUAAAAAGAGACAAGAAAUUCAACCUAUGAUAUCAGUAUUCUUUAUUUAAAUUGUUUUAAUAAAUAAUAUUAGAGUGCAUUUCCAAGAUGCCCCCACCCCGUUUGAGGUUUCUAUUCAUACUAUUUAAAAUAAUAAUAAUAAUAAGGAGUGGGGUUGCAUUUUCUAAAUUCUUUUAUUGCUUAUAAUAUAAUUUUAAUAACGAAUGAUAAAUUUUUUUUUAAAAAAAGGAAAAACAAUAUAUUAUUUGUUUUGUUUUGUUCGGGUUUAGUGAAUAGUGGGUUUGGGUGUUGCGGAAGAGAUGAUGGGCCCAUUAAGAUUGAUAAAUGAUAAUAGAGAGGGACGGGCCCACCACUCCAUCUAACCUUCCCUAAUCCGACACGUGUCAUUACAUUAUUAUUAUUAUUAUUAUUAUAUUUUGUGCCUUUAAUAAUACAGUUAGGCAAAGGGGAAAGAGAAAGAGAAUAAAGGCAAUCAAAGCAUCUACCCCAUACCCCUUUCGUACCUUCGCUCUUUCUUUUACUCACUCUUUCCUUUACACUUCUCAAACCCACCCCAUCCGACUUCACUCGUUUUCUUUUUUCCUUUUCCAUAAUUAAACCUUUCAUUUUUCCUUCUCAAAUCUACUACACCCUUCUUCCUCUCAUUUUUCUUCUCUACCCCAAGUUUAGUACUGAUAUCCAACAGUUGGUUACAUUUGUUUAAUUGUACCUCAAUAACCUCUAAUCUCCAUCUUACUACAAACAAUUUUUUUAUUUCCACUUACCAUUUGCUCCUCCCUUCAGAUUGGAGAAGGUGUAGGAGAUAUUGAUAUGGCACAUUCUUUGAUGUUCAAUUCAAACAUGUGCAGUCUCAACGUUUUAUAGUUGUAUCUAUCAAAGUUGUAGAGUGCCCGUGGUGAGCUCACCACCUGACUUGUUGUACAAUCUCAACGCAUAAAUUUAGUAUCAACUAGGAACAAAAUUUGUUUAUAUUUAGUAGUGAUCCGUAGGAGACCACCAAUUUUCUCUUGUAGUUUGAUCUCAAUUUUAGUUUAUUUAACUUACAAUGUUAGUGUAUUUUAUCACUCAACUUUGAAUUUUUCACUUUCAAAUGGAACAAUAUUUAUUUAAAAUUAUAAUCAAUUUAAAAUAAUUUUAAUGCAACUAGCUUUAACUAAUUUUCAUCCUAAUUAAGAGAAAAAUAAAUAGAAGAAUUAUUGCAAUAAACUAGCAAAAUUUUAUAUUUUAUCAUUGAUAGACACUAAUAGAACAUUUACUUUAUUUUGUAAAUAUUUUGGUUCAAUUUACUAUAUUUAUAAAUGCACCAAUAAGAAAACAUAGGAUGACUAUCUUAAAUUAAUCAAUGUUUUUUUCAAAAAUGAUAAAAAAUACAAAGUUAGAAUUAGUAAAAGUUUUGGAUAAAAGUUUCAAAUACUUAUAAACCAGAGUAAAAGAACACUAAACUCAAAAUCCAAAACCAUAUAAAAAUAAAAAAGUAAAUUGUUAUAUUUUAAAACCAAUGACCAAAACGGAUACAUGCUUAAACCAUCUUUCAGACCGAAAAAAGAUAUCUCUUUCAAUAGGAAGUUGAAGAUCCUAAUUAAUCUUCUGCUUAUGAAUGUGAGAAUAUAACUAAUCUAAUCACAUAUAGAUGAGAGAGAAACUAAUUUUCUACUAGUAAAAAAAACUUAACCAACGCUUAUGACCAUAUAUAUCAUAUAAAAGAGUAUGUUCUCUAUUACAAGAAGGUGCUAAAAAUCCCAAUCAACAACUAGGGCACAGUUCUAGAGCAAAUGACAUUUUGAGCUAAAAUGAGGAAAGCAAACGAAGGGAGACAUUAUAGGCCAACUACGAGCAAAGAAAUAGUCAUUUAACACUCAUUAGUUAGAAUAGCAAAUCCUCUUUUAACUUGAUUUAAAAUAUCAACAAUCUCUUUUAUUGAUCAAAAUUUUGAAUCCACACUUCUCUCUGCCUUUAUGUCAAGAGAAAUAGUAACAAGUAGCAAAAUUUGAUAAAAACUAUUUAUAAAAUAUAACAAAAAAUUUAAAUUCUAUCAAUAAUUGACAUUGAUAUUAAAUGUCUCUAAUAUUAAAUGCUUUAGUACUUAUGUAAUUUAAAGUAUGAUAAUUUAGUAUCCUUACAUUGUCAAUAUACUUAGCUUAACUGAUAUUUGUAUCUUUUUUAGAAUUGGAGGUUUCACGUUCAAGUUGAAUUUAAUAAGACUUUUUUGAAUUAAAAAAAUCUUUAUUUUUAUAAAAAAAAAAAAAGAAACUGUAGUAAUUAAAACUCAUAUAGUGAGGCAUUGAGCAUUGAGUUAAAUUGCAAAAUAAAGACUAAGUUCACCGUAUGUGGAAAGGUGAUAUAUAUGUGUUGUUAUAUCUGCACAAGUAAAUGGAAAACUUGUUAAGAUACAAUUAAGAGCAUGGAUUUAAUUGCUAUAUUAUUGUUCUUAUUUUCCAAAAAGUAGUUUCUUUUUUAAAUGGUUUAUAAAUUUAAAUUAAAAACCAAAUUGGAUGUUGUAGAAAAAAUACAAAUCAAAAUAAUUCCUAUGUAAGAGCUGAAUGAUGCGAGCUAAUUACAUUCAUAAACAUAAACCUAAAGACAAAAUUAAAAUUAUUAGUGUUCAUGGUUGGAACUUGUAUGCGUUUGUUGUUGUGGCUCGUGACUUGAUUUUCAAUUUACUUUUUUUUUUUUUGUUCUGUCUCACUUUUCAAGUUGACAUGCUUAAGAGAUUGUCUCAUCAACGUGGCAAGCCUACUUCACUCUAAUACUCAAGCUAUAUAGUAUAGGAAGUAUAUGGUUUAACAAUGCACAUAAAAAGAAAGGUUAGAGCUCUCAUUUGAAGAUUACUUAAUUCCUUCCUUUUGGAGUCGUUGAAUGGGGCUAUUUAUUGGUCUUUCCUCUUAAAAUCGUCUUUGAUUACCUAAAACACUUAUGAUAUCAAGCUUAUUUUUUAUACUCAAUGUUGCACAGUGCGAGACAAAGCACUGAGCACAUUCGAUUAUUUUUCAAUUGGUAUAGGUUUUACUGGCUCAGUUGGUCAACCAAAACCUUGAGGCCAAUAUUCCCAUAUGCUUCUUUAUGGUACCUCUAUAUAGGCAUUAGAUUUGUUGUAGGAUUUAGGCUCUGUCGUGGGUAACACUUAGCAAAUUAGUUCAUUUCUUCGUUUUUUUAGUAAACAAUAAUAGAAGUGAUGAACAAAUAAAGUUAAACGAUCAUGAUAAUUAGAGUUAAGAGAAUGACCAAUGAUGAUUGAUGAUUCAAAAAUCAAAUUGAAAAAUAGAUGUCUUACAACGUGAAAAGUCAACCCAUGAGUAACUGAUUCACAUUGUAUGAUUAACAUGGAAGAAUUCAUAACUUGAAUCACGAUGCAUCAAAUUACGAAAGGAAAAUAUUAAUAGUUUCUAAAUUAUAAUGAAAUUUGUUUUAUAGCUUUCGAAAUGUUUACAUGGAUAACAAUCUCCACAGUGAACAAAUACAACUUCUCCAACUAAGAAUCUAUCAACAGUUGCAAUUAUAACAAUUAAAUUUAAAAAAAAAAUAACAUAUACAUGACAACAUUUAAUUUUUUUUAAUAAAUAUAUAUCAAUUAUAAAGUUUAUCAUUACUAUACACUUGAUUAUUAUUAUCCCUAAAACUACUACGAAGUAUAAUUAUCCAAUAUCACAAAAGUAAAAGUUGCAUCAAAGAGACCAACCACUAACAUAGUCAAUAGAACUUAGAGCAUAAGUUGGUUGAUAGCGAGAGAUAUCUUAGAAAGUACAGAGAUAGAUUAGAGUUCUCUAUACAAUAAUAAUAUCACAUUUACUUAAUAUAUUUAUAAAUAUUCUACAAAAGUUUCAUACUUUGUUACUAUAUUUUGAAAAAAAGAAAACAAAGAAUUAAUCCUUAUAUAUAAUUUAUAAUUAUUAUUUAGUCCUUAGAAUUUGAUAAGAAGUCGGAGAUAAUCAAUUUUAUCACACUAAGAGGACUCUUUAUGAACUUUUAUAUUAAAUUCUAAUAAACAUGAUAACUCCUUAUUAAAAUCUAUUACUAAUAAGAGUUUUUUUUUUAAAAAAAAAACUUUGAAAGUAGAAAAACAAGAAAUAUAAACUCUAUCCCAUGGAAAUCUCUGGUUUAUAUUUUAUAUUUCAAAUACACUGUAGAAAUAUUAGAUUAUAUUUUUUCUCAGCUCCUAAUGUAUACACAAAUAUAGGUGAAAUAUUAACAGUUUAAUAUUAGCUAUGGAGAAAUAAGAAAUAUGAAACAAACUCAUUUAUGUCUUUUUUUUUUUAAUAUAAAAGAAAAGAGAAAAAGAAACAAAAUAUUAUGGCAAAAUGCAAAUUUAAUUUUUCAAAAGAAAUCACAAGAAACAAAAUAUCUUUUAAUGUAGAUUAUAAAAAUUUAAAAUGACAAUAUUUUGUAAAAUAAAUACAAAUCCAAAGUUUGAUAAAAUUUGUAAUUUGAUAAGAUUAGAUUAGAGAGUAGUAAAGAACAAAAAUAGAAGUUAUAGGGACUAAUUUUGUAAUUAAGGAAUAGUGAAAAUUAAAAAAGAAAAAAAGGAAAAAGAAAUGAAAGAAAAGGGAGGGGUAGGACAGGAAAGAUACCAACUGUUAGAGGAGUUGGAGCAAAAUUUGGAAUGUUUUGAAUAAUAGUCAUUAAAAAUAUAAAUGACUGAGUCGACUCGUUGCGAGUUUAACCGAGUCUAUAAUAAAAAAUCCGAGUGAAAAUGGAGACGAGUUACGAUGAGUCACGAUGGGCCACCCUCUUCCAUCGGCUGGUUCAACUUUUAGGUCAAGUUGAGUUUUCUUUUCGCUUUUCCCUUUUAAUUCUUUUUUUUUUUUUUUUUAGUUUUUAAUUUUAAUUAUUAAUUCGAAGAAACGGAAUUUGACUGCGAGAAGAAGAAUCAGUGGAAGAAGGGCAAGUAGAUCUGAAACUUCAUACAUACGCCGGAGAUUGGGGGAGAAAAAUCCGGGGACGGUCGGCGAUUGUUUCUCGAUUUCAACCAUACCAAAAAAAUAAUUAAAAAAAAAAAAUAAACAGAACAGAACAGAAGCGGAGAUUUUUUUUUUUUUUUUUUUUGGAAUCGUUAUGCUGAAUGACUGAUUUUUCAGCUUUCCGAACGGGCGGUUUCAAAAGGAAAAUGCCGCGCCCUCAUUUUCAUAAGCUUGUUCUCACCUCAACUAUCCAAGCUAGGAAAUUGGUACUCUUUUGAUCCUUUUUUUUUUUUCUUUUUCUUUUUUUGUUUUCUGGGUUUUGCUUCUUUUGCUUGAUUAUCGAGAAGAAUCGGGCUAAACUUCGGUUCUGUCUUUCUUUUUUCUUUUAGACUUCAUCUACUAUUGCUUCUUCUGUAUCUUCUGCUGAGUUCUUUUGCUCUAGCAACGAAUUUUCUUAUGGAUUAAAGCUAAAACCCUGAGUUUUAUGUUCGUUUUAAUCAAGGAAUAAGGAAAGUUUUAUUGGGCUAUACUCGAAUUUCUUGAUGAUUUACUUACUUCUCUGUUUUUUAGUUUUGGUUAAUCGAAGAAGUUGUUUAGUCGUACUAGGUCAGACUCCAAAAUUUUCAUUUCAUUGUCUAUCAGUCUGCUACCGCUAUAUACGACUAUUAUUAUUGAAUUUGGAGCUGAACCCUUCAUUAUUUUACCCUGUUAAUCAUGUUUCUAAAGUAUCUUUCUGUUAGUAAAUAAACAUGAAAUUGAUGAAGUUAUCUCCUGGGCUGGAAAUAGUUUUUUUUUUUUUUUUUUUUUUUUUUGCGUUUGUUUUGUGUUGCAUUGGUUAUGCUUUCAAAAGGGUUUCCUUUUCAGUUGCAUGAUUAGGCAGGAUGUGUUUCCAUCAGCUACAAAUCAAUUGGCAGUAAAAUCCCAGUUUUCUGUGGGCUUGUUUUAACUCAACAUUCUCAAUUUUUGAUUCGUGCCCUUCAAGUUCUUGCUUCUCAGCUUUUAGUGAUAGCUUUUUGGGUUUGUUCUAAUUUGAUGUACAUAAUAUAGCUAUAUCAUAGACGAUAAUUGUGUAAACAAAAUAUUUUCAUUCCUCUUUCACUGAUUUGUUUGAUCUUUUUGAGAUUUUCAAUUGAAAUGCUUGGUUCUCUUAGAAGAAUCUUCAAGUAUAAUGACUAUUCUUUCAUCCCUAAGCUUUGAAUAUCAUUAGAUAAUAAAUCAAAUAGGAUUUUGUUUUCAUAUACAGAUACUCUCUUGAAAUAUCUUGUCAACUGUUAAUUGUCGAGUAUAUGAUCCGUAUCUUCAUUCUUCAUCUCAUUUUUUAAUCUUUAAACUUAAUUCCUUGGCUACAAGUUCUUUAACAUCUUUCCAUUGUUUCUUUGUGCUGGAUUAGUCCAGAGCAACGGUUGGAUCUUGACAAAAGUGAACAAACAUUAUACUCCUUCUGUUGUAUUGUUAUUCUUGAUGUACAUUGUUUUAGCUUUUGUUUGCACUUCAUGUUAGUUUGCUACUUUGUGACUGUUCGUUUCUUAUAAUGCAGUUUAUUUAUGCCAUGAUUUGUUUUUGUCUGGUUUCUUUUUGGCUUGGGCUCUCCUUCUCUCUGGCAUUUUUCUUAUUCUUACAUAAUGUCAUAAUGAAAGUUGUUUUCAUCUAAAAUAGGGUUUGGUUGUACGUAGCGCAUGAUUCAUCACAUCAUUAUAUUUGUCGUUGGCUACAACCCCUUUAUAGAAUUCCUUUGUUUCUUUAAUCAUAAAUCAAGUAUUUUAGUAUCUUCCCUUUUCAAUAAGGAACUGUUUUCCUACCAUUUAAUUUGUUGAAUGGUCAUACCACUGCAGUCAUCUUGUCAUAUAUGUCCAUUUCUUGGACUGGAGUUAAGUUUCUAUAUUGUCAUUCAUUUGCAUUGCAUAACCCUUCCUUGCUCAACAUUUUUGCAGAGAAUCCCAGAAACUUUUGUCAGGAUGAUCAGGGAUGAGCUUUCAGCAGUUGCAACCCUUACUGUUCCUGAUGGCCAUGUUUGGCGUGUAGGUUUGAGGAAAGCCGACAAUAAAUUUUGGUUUGAAGAUGGAUGGCAAGGAUUUCUUGAGCAUUACUCAAUACGGGUUGGGUAUUUACUAGUAUUCAGAUAUGAGGGAAACUCAUCGUUCUGUGUUUUUAUCUUUAAUCUUAAUACAUCUGAAAUAAACUAUCAAUCGGCUGCUCUCAGUAAUAAUCAAAGGAAUAAUUACAGCAUUCAAAACCGAAUCUUUGAAGAAAUGGAGGAUUAUGAUAUUCCUGAAGCCAUUCCUUCCAAUCAGUCCAUGAAUUCCGGUUCCUUGCGGAAUAAGCUAUUUGGUGAUGAAUGGAAUCUGCACCAAUCAAAAUCUGCAAGUACAUUACAAGCUGAGUAUUUAUCUACUAGAGAUAUUGGGGUUCAGUUUAGUGCUGUGGAGGUUAAAAAAUCUGCAGAUGAGGUGAGAUUCCAGAAUUUGGGUGAUGAUGCAGCACACAGAGUUAAAAAGAGUGGAAGCAAAAAGCGAAAAAUCGAGUCUAGUAAGCUUUUGUCUUAUUGCUUUACAGUUUGCACUGUAAAUGUUUGAAUUAUCUUACCCAGUAUUUUUCGAACUGCAGGCGAGCACCAUCCAUCUGCUCAUAAUAGUGAAGAUUUAGGAGACAUUCGUUUUAGAUUUUAUGAAAGUGCUUCUGCUAGAAAGAGAACUGUGACAGCAGAAGAAAGAGAAAGAGCUAUCAACUCUGCAAAAGCUUUCGAGCCUGGUAAUCCUUUCUGCAGAGUCGUCUUGCGACCAUCCUAUCUAUAUAGAGGUUGCAUAAUGGUAAGAUAUUGAGGUUGAAAUUUAUCAUAUGAAAGCUUUUAAAUUGAAUCACGUGAGCCCUAACAAGGGUAUUCUGCACUCUCCUUUACAGUAUUUGCCAUCUUGCUUUGCUGAAAAGAAUCUAAGUGGGGUUUCGGGAUUCAUCAAACUUCAGACGCCUGAUGGGAGACAGUGGCCGGUCCGAUGCCUUUAUAAAGUUGGUAGAGCGAAGUUAAGUCAGGGAUGGUACGAGUUUUGCCUGGAAAAUAAUUUAGGGGAGGGCGAUGUUUGUGUGUUUGAGCUUCUUAGGAUGAGAGAAAUUGUACUCAAAGUUACCAUGUUUCGUGUCAUUGAAGAAGGCGGACGAAUGGCAAACCCAAAUCCUGCUAGCAUGAUGAAUCCACCUCCGCUGCGAAGUGUUAGCCACAUUAAGCUGAUCAGAAAUUAAUGGACAAUAUUUCCAGGUUACCCUUUUGUAUCAAAUCUGUCUCUUUUUUGUGGUAGCUUGUUGAUUCUGAUCCCUUGUGGUAUUAGCUGUUGUUUGAUGUUUAUAAUCUUUCGAGAUUGACUUAAGUUGGAAAAAAAAAAGGAUCCGUUUAGAGUUUACGUAUUAAAGCUGUAUUGACUUUAGUUGUAUAUAGAUUUUCAAAUUUUUGUUGAUAUCAAUCUAGACAAGAACAUCAGCAAGUGUUUGUUUUGGUUCUUCAUGUUGAGAGUGUAUUCAAUUAUUAGAUUUUACUUUAUCUCAACAACUUCAUCUAUUUGUCUGUGUAGCUGUUGGUAAGAUAGGAUCAAUGGCAAAUUGCUCAGGUUUUAGGAGAUAGUUGAUUUAGGCCUAUGUCAUAGCUCUCGUGAAUUUGACCAACCACAGUGAUACUUAUUCUAUUUUUCUAGGAACUACAAUGUUAGUUUAAGCAGCGGUGUGUUGUACCCUAAGGGCAGCUGUUAGAGUUCUAAAGUCUGGAGUUAGGAAAAUUGUGCAUGCGGUCGAAGGCUGUUUCGUUUGGAGUUAGGAAAUAUUAGAGGGAGAAUGAGGGAAAAUAGAGUUGUUUGAUGAAUUUGAACUUUAAUAGUGAUUACUGUUUAAGUUAUUUUGGUAGACCAAACGCCUCCUAAUUUCAUUUUGCAUCGACCCUGGUUCUUGUUUUGCUUUCAAUGGAGACGUUGAAUUCGAGUCUAGUAUUCAAGUUGACAUGUAAGAAGAGUGUUAACAGUGUAUUAGAUUAUCUCAAAUAUUCAUCCUUCACUCAGUGCCACCACGCUCUUGGCUUUUUCCUUUGAAAGGCCUUGGUCUUGCUAUUAUGGAAGUCUCUCAUGGUUUUAAGUAUCCUUUUGUUUGUUUGUUUGAAUUAGCUCCUCUCUAUGUUUGUACCCAUUUCCAUCAUUUUGCUUGCUACUUCGUUUUUUGUAUUUUUUAAAUGCAUAGAUAUAUUUCUCUUGACAAAUGUUCUCUUAGUGUUUUUUUUUCUUUUCCUCCUUGGAGAUCAAUGUACUAAUGUUCUCAUAAGAAAUUGUGUUGCAAUAAUCUAAAUUGAUUCAUUUAGGAAAGUUGAGAGGUUUUUAUUGAUACAAAUUAUAAGCUGAAUUUUUUCAUAUGGGAACGUGGAGGAUGAUCUAAAUAAAUAUACUUAAAAGAUAAAUCGGUACGAUUAUUAGUUAUCAUUUAAAUUUAUAUGACAUAAGCUAAAUGUAAAAUAAUAUUUUUUUAAAUUUUGGGGUGACACGAGGUUUGACCUUAUUUCUAAACUAAAAGAUUUUUGUUAUCGUCAUAUUCGAGUACUAUUACCAAAAUAGAAUAUUACAUGAUUUUUGUUAUCGUCAUAUUCGAGUACUAUUACCAAAAUAGAAUAUUACAUGUGGGGCAAAAUAUUGAUAGAUUAUUUUUUAUUCAUAUAUUUUUUUGUUAAAAUAUAUCUUCUAGUUCUUAAACUUUUAAACAAGCAAACAAAUUUUGGUUUGUAACGAUUUAAUCCUCGUACUUUCAAUUUAGUAUUAGUUUAGACUUUCAAUUUUGUAUGAAACAAUUUUAUUGCUAAUUAGUCUAUACCUACAAAAAAAACCAUCAAAAUUUUACAUCAAUUUUUUGAUUUAUUAUUUUAUAAUCUAAACUUUUUAUUUCAUAAAAUUAUUGAGUCCCAAGUAAGUAUGCAAAAAAAUUUUAUUAAAUUUUUAUGCUAAUUUCUACCGUAGAAACUAAGUCGUUACAAAUUUUAAAAUUUAAAAUUCAAGGACUAAAUUGUCAUACAGUAAAGUCUUUUUUUGUUUUUUAAAAAUCUUUCAAUAAAUAAAUUUUUAAAAACUUUUGUUUUAGAAAAAAGAAUUAAAUAUUAAUUGAUCGGUAUUUAAAAAAUCGGUAAGAACUAAUUUGAAUUGCAGAAACAAUCCCUAAAAUCUAAACGAUAAUAAUGAACCUACAAAUUUAAACCAACAAUAUAAUUAGUAAUGUAUUUAUGACAACCUACUUAAUUUCUACCCACUUUGAUUAACACCACAAAUUUGGAAUUAAUUCAAGUCUAAUAAAUAUAAAAUGAGGCUAUAAAUUCAACUAAUAAACUCCCCCUCCAUCCAAUAAUUAUAUCAUUUUUGAAUGUAAAUAAAUAAUAGGGUUGUAUAUUAUUGGAGGAACUAGGCUUCUGAGAAUGGGGAAGGAGGAUGAAAAGUGCCCAUUUUUCGUUUAAGUAACCUACAUGACUCUUUUUGACUGUUCAUAAGUGGAUGAUAGAAAUAAAUAGUAAUUUUCCACGAAUAGUCAGAAAAUCUUAUUUUUUUGGAAGAAAAAAAACGUGUUAAAUAAACUUUUAUGACUCAUUUAGAAUAUGUUUACUAAGCAUUAAACACAUGAAGUCAAUCACAAAUAAUUGUUUUUAGAAAAGCUUUAAUAUAUUUUUAGAUAUUAUAUACUUAGUGACACCUUAAUGUGUUGUUAAAAUACUUUUAGAAAUGUUAACUAAAACAACGUUGCUAAGUUUUAGAAUUAUUGAUUUUUUUUUUUUUGUCAAUGUUGAAUUUCAAUUUUAGCAAGUUAACUUGGAUUUAAAGAACUUGAUUAAAAUUUUAAGUUCUCAAUAUUAAAUAUAUUACACCCUAAAAUGGUCGACUAAUGAAAUAAACGUUUUUUCAUUUAAGAAAUUUAACGUAGUCCACUUAAGGUGUUGAUGGAUAGAAUAAACAUUUUGUUAAAUUUUGUAAUCAAAUUUAGGUUAUGUGAUACAUUUACUUGUAUAUUUGACCUUCAAAGUUCUCUUUACCUUCGUGGUUCAAAAUUUGAACAACAUAAAAUUUAUCUCCUUGAUUACUUUUUAAUGACAAUACAUUGUGAAUUCAUAUAUCAAUGUUACUAAAUUGCAAUUAAGAGUCUAAAAUAAUGGCACAAUAAACUUGUCAUAACUUUGGAAAAGAUUGGAGUUUUUCGUAUUUUUCUACCAAAAUCGCACCUUUCUCAUUUAAGUACAUUUUAUGAUUCUUUUUUACCGUCAUAAUUUUUUUUCACAAAAAAAUGUGUGAAAUGAGUUUUUAUGACUCAUUUUUCACUAUGUCGUCCAUUUUUGCUACUAGUCACAAGUCAUGGAAGGUCAUAUUAGUCGUAGAAUUUGGUAAAUGUUUUACAAGAAUCCAUUGUAUUAAAUGAAGUACAUGACAAACAAAAUGUAAAAACUAGCAUAUCUAUUUCAAAUUAUUAAAUUAAAUAAUUUAAUCUAGGUAUAUGUUUAAGGAAAAGAAAACUCCAUUUCAACCCUAUUUGAUCAAAUUACUAAGUGGAAAAAAUAUACUAUUUAUCCUCUCUCCAGCGUUUUUUAGAUAAAUUCAUAAAAUUUGAAAUUCAUGCUUCGUCUCGAUAGGAUGAAUUAAAGAAACUAUUUUAGACAUGCAACAACAUAUCUAUAGUCUUCGUCACCAAUUGACACCAUGAGAUAUUUCAUGCAUGGCCUCAUAGCAACUAAAAACCCAUCUCCCAACCAAGACUCUCUAUGGUGGGUUAGCUUAGGAUCCUCUUCUUAGCAUUAAUUAAACUGAAGUUGCCAAUGACAAGGUUAACUCUUCAAAAAGAUAAGAUUAUAGGUAUGUGAUUCUCUAAUAUUGUCCUACUCUAAUCUCUAUGAUGUAGGCUUACCAAAAGUUAAUUAAAAUAUUGAAAUAUUGCAUUAGAUGACAAAAAAAAAUUAGAAAAAGACAAAUCAUAACAACUCAUUUUUUUAUAUUAUAAAAUUGACAAAAUGGGACUAGUAAUUGAUCAUAUCAGACGGUAAUGUGCUUUUAAAUUUGUUAUUUUUGCGAUUUAAAAAAUGUAUAUGACAUGGAUUCUAUUAUCAUAAUUUAAAAAAAAUUAUUAGUUAUUAUAAUAUAUAACUAAUGAAAAAUUAAAACAUAGAAUAAAGUUGAAAGCUCACCUACUAUAUGAUUUAAGACUGGUCUAGACUAAGAUAAAUUUCUAGCCUAUUUAGAUAUAGAUAAAUUUAAUAUAAAUAGUUUUAAAAUGUCAACAUAUAAAAUUAUAAUAAGAUUACAAUAAAGUAAAUUGCACACUUAUAUAAAAAUAAGAUUUGGGAUCUUACUUAGCUUAAAAACAAGGUUAACUUUCUAAACAAAAUAAAGAGAGAAAAUAUUUACCAUCAUUGUUACAAAUUGAAAAAGUACAUAAAAUUUACUAUUUUUUUUAAAAAAAUUAGGUUUGUUCUAAAAAAAUGUUAAUUGUUAUGUAAUUAACACCAUACUUGGGAACUGAUUAAAAAUUUUGAAUUGGUCAAACUUUAUUUAAAAGCUUGCUAUAUUGUGAUUAGUGUAUUAAAUAAGUUUAAUCAACUUAAGAAAUUCACAUGAUGAAAGAAACUAACCUAAACGUUUGUAGUAUGGGCUGACUAAUAAACCCUUGGAUUAAUGAUUUUGGAUUUUAUCCCAAAAUUUUUAGAUCAAUUUAUAAGAUUAGAUGUAUUACUAGAACUAUCUCUUAUAAAAGGUGUUUGUGCGUGAAUUUAACAGGUGAAUUAGAGAUAUUAUUUAUAGUACGUAAGUGAAGAACAAAUAUGACAAACUAUCAUAAGACGUCCAUCAUUAGUUGAGUUUAUGUCUAAGCUCGUGGCAACUUACAAUGACCGUUUAGAAGGAUACUUGAAUCGGUUAAUAUCAUUAUUUAACUCCUAGAAAAAAAUAUGUUUUCCAAUAUUUAGUGGGGUUGGUGGGCUUAAUUAGACUACAAUGGUUAUAUAUUAGAUAAUUAAUGAAAAAUUAAAACAUAAUAAAGUUGCAAGCUCACCUAAUAAGAUUAGGGAUUUUACAGCUUGGAUUAAAAUAAAUUUAAUUAAUGUUUUAAAUUGUUUUAAACUUUUCAAUUUGUCUUUAUAAUUUAUUUUUUUGAGAUUAGAAUAAAGUAAAUUGAAUUCAUACUAAAAAAAUUAAGAUAUUUAGAUAAAAUAAAUCUAACUAAUAUUUUAAAUAGUUAAUUUUUUUUAAUUCUUUUUUAAAAAUUCUAUUGAGAUUAGAAUAAAGCAAGUUGAAUGCUUACCUGAUGAGACUAUGAUUUUAGACUAAUAUAAAACAAAUUUUAAUUAAUAUUUUUUAUAUAAUUUAAAAUUUUUAAUUUAUUGUUAUAAAACUAUGAUGCCAUUAAAAUAAAACAAAUAAUCUUAUGAAAUGAAUGUAAUUAAAAUUUAGUUGUUCCACAAAAGUAAAUUUCAAAAUAUAGUUAACUUCUCAGGUUCCUUUAAAUAUAAGAAAUGGUCAAAUAUUUACUAUCAUAUAGAACAAUUUCAAAAACAAAAUCGUUAAGGCUAGUCGAAAAUACAAAAAAUGUUCAAUCAUUUAUUAGCAUCGAGUACCUAAUAUAUUUGAAAAACGAUAGUUAAAUUUUGGUAGUCAAAUUUGAACGAUUUUUUUUUUUUUGUACACAUUCGUUUAUAUUUGGAAAACAAUCAUUUACAUUUGAUACGUUUAUAUUUGGAAUAGAAUCGUUUAGAACACUUUUUCCAAUAAUUUUUUUGUACAAUUGUUUUGAUUUGAAAAACGAUCGUUUAAGUUUAAUAUAUGUUUAUAUUUGUAACACAAUCGUUGAUUUGAUCAUUUAAACUUGGCUACCUAAACCAUUUUAAGAUUCCUUGUACACUAGAUUUGACUAUUCAAUAUAUUUUUGUUAAUAUUUGGAACAACGAAAUAAUCAUGUAAAAAAAAACUAGAUUUUAUAUUUAGUAUUAGAUCUUGAACCAAAAAAAACAAUUAGAAGAAAAAAUAAAAGAAAAAGGGCAAAGAAGAGAAAAAGAGGAUGAAAAGAAAAAUUGCAAAAAAUUAAAAGAAAGACAAACCUGAAAUAUUAAAAAAAAAUUGACAGUUUCAUAAGCUUAUUUUACUAUACGGACCGUAAAUAUUUUACUGAUUUGUUAUAUUUAAGAAAAUUAACCUAUUGUUUGGUAUUGAUUUUUUGUUUCUAAUCUUAUUUUAAAUGAAAUAUCUUGAUUCCAUCACUUUUGAUGAACGAAACCCUUCAAUAGUAAGAAGGGUCGAACUGUUGGAAGGUUGAACAUUUUAAUACCAAAUUUGAAAGAUACCCAAAUAAUAGGAUUGAUGGAAAGUCUAGCUUCUAUUCGAUCUCUAAUUUUCAAAAUAUUACAUUUUUAGUUUUAUUUUAUUUCAAUUUAGUCUCUAAAUCUUAAAUGUGACAAUUCUAUUUUAAUAUAAUCAAAGGCAUUAAAAGAUUGUUUAGAGCAUAUUUGACAACUUUGAGUCAUUUGGAAGAGUUGAGUUGGUGGAUAAAAAAGACCAACAAUCCUAUAGUUCACCAAUAAUUAAAGAGAUCUUUUUAAUCCCAUUAUUCACGUCAACUCACAUUUUUCACUAAAAUAUUUACAUUUCUCACAUCACUUCCGUAUUCGUGUCAACUCUCCCCAAUUAUUUACUAUAAUUAUUUUCAACUCAACUUUUUACUUUUAUAGAUAUCCAAACGGUUCCUUACUAAAAGAAUAAAGUUAAAAGUAGAAGUUAAGAAUAACUUGAGUAAUCCGACAACCGAUUUAUACUCCUAAUUAAAAAUACAAAUAUAUUGAUGAAAAAUCAUUAAAAAUAGAUCAUUUGAUCAAAAUAUUUAUACAUUCACACAAAAAUGAAUUGUUAUGUGUAAAUAUUUUGUCAAUUUUUUCUAUUUAAAAAAAAUUCAAUACAACGUAUAGAAAUCCACUCAAAGUACGCACUAAACUAAAAAGAAUUAAAAUAGUGAGAUUUAGAACUUAAUAGGAAUUAAAAUUUAAACUCAAAACCUAAAAUUGAAAUUCAAAGGACCAAAAAGGAAUUUUACUCCAAAUUAAAUAUAAUAUUUAAUAUUUUUUCUUAUAAUGCAAAACUCUCUUCCUUUUUUAAUUUUCUAGUUUAAGCAAUUUAUUAAAGCCAUGGGGGCCACUAAUCAAACGUGUCAAUUUUCCAUUAGCUCUUACGAAGGUGGGCCCACAUGGUACAAACAAAGCAUAGUUUUUUUUAACCUUCAUCUCUCUCUCUCGCUUCUCGCGCACACACACAGCGCUGGGUUUCCACUGCAAAGUUCUUCGUCAGAACAAUCAAUGGAAAUUGAAUUAAGGGUCCGCUGAAAUUUCAAUGGAUAACUCUCUUACAGCCAUGCCCGAGUCAAACGAGCAAGAAGGAGCUCAAUCCUUUAAUCAAACCUCUCCAGCAAGAAGAGCUGGCCUCUUCUAUAAGCUGGUAGUGCCAUCCAUUCUUCAAGACAAGAAGCUGGUAAUCAGUCAUCGGUCGUACCGCCUCUAUUUCGUUUUCUUUCUGUUCCGAUUUUUCUUUUUAUUUUUCUUAUGGGAAAACCAAAAUAAACGGAACCCAGAGUCGGUUUUGGGGAUGAGAAUGUACAAUCAUUUCCAUUUCUUUGCUUACUCGUGAUAAAUGAUUGAUCAAUUGUUUCUUAGCUUUAUUUUCUUUUUUGCUUAAGUGGGGUGUGAUACAAUCGUUCAUUUUAGAUUGAUGGUGAAGAAAUUCAGGGAAAAUGCCUCUUGGUGAUUAGAUUCUAAGCCGAUUUUAGCUACAAAGUUUUUAUGGUAGUUCCGUACUGUUGGAUUUUUUUUUUUUUUUUUUUUUCUGUUUUUAAGAUUAGAGAGAUGAGAGACCUAAAGCAAAAUUCUUUUUCUGCAAAGAUGUGGAGGGCAACCAAUUGGAAGCUGAUCAAUGGGUAUCAAUAGCCGAGAACGGGAUUUGGGUUGUGAAUAAUUGGGUUUUAUCUUUUGCAGCUUGAGUUUAUUGGGGUUGAUUGAUCUUUACUUUUCUAAUUGGCCUUGAACGAUCAACUUUUUCAAUUUCUAUCUGUAAUGAUGUACUGCGAGCACCCCUGUUUUCACUUUAGGCAAAUAAUUUGUGUGGGCGAUUGAUUUAACUAAAUUGAACAGGCAGUGAACAUCAGUUAAUAGUUAAACUGCUGGAGGAUAGUGUUUUCUUUCUCUCCUUUUCAUUGUGCCCUUGAAAAAUUCCAUUAAUGGGGUUGAAAUAUCUGCUGUUCAAUGAAUUUUGGAGGCUUAUGUAUGGCUAUGCUUACUGUUGAGUUGACUUGUUUAAGAAAGAGUGAGAAAACCAUGAUUCUAUCUAUUAUCGCUUUUUGUAACUAUUCACAAGUUUGACUCUGAUAAUGGUAUUGACAGUUUUGUUAAUGAUAGAUACUUUCAUUAGAAAUCCCGCAGAUCGGGGUAUUUUCUGUUUGCAGUAUUGUUUGUUUAACAGAUUAAUUUUAUUUAUCUACAGAAAAUACCAAACAAGUUUGCUAAGAAGUUUGGAGGUGAUAUUUUGGAUCUUGUUACUCUGGUUGCUCCUAAUGGUUAUCGAUGGGUUCUGGAAUUAAAAAGACAUGGCCGUAGUAUGUGGUUUGAGGAUGGUUGGCAUGAAUUUGUCAAACACCAUUGCAUUCAAGUUGGACAGCUCUUGGUCUUCAGAUUUGAAGGAAAUUCCGUUUUCAACUUUUACAUGUUCAACCUAACUGCAAUUCCAAAUGGUCCAUGCAAUACUUCAAAUGCUUCCAUUGAACAAAACGAUGGCGAACAAUGCCCAGAUACACUUGGAAAAGAAGCUGAAUACAAGAAAUUAGUUGAAAUAUUAGGAACUGGUUCUCCUGACCCCUCUCCACGUCCUUCUGUCAAGGACCUUGUUUGUGAGUUUCCAGAUCAGCAAAAAUUCAAUGGAAGUUGCAAUGGGACUAGCAUUAAGAAUUUUAUGCAUUGGUUCGACACAGAGAACCUGCAUCCUCUAAAGGAUUUUGAUAAUCCACUAAAGCAUUUAGAUAAGUUGCGCAUGCAACUACUAAAUUCAAAUCGAGAUAUCGGUAUACAGUUCGACGGGGAUGAGCUUGCGAAAGCUAGAGAAAAUCAUGACUUUCAAUUGAAUCAAUCCUCUGAUGAAAGAGAGGAAGGAGCCAUGAAAAAGAAGUUAAAACUUGAACCAAGUAAGUUCUAAAAAUGCACAGUUUAACUAAUUUGCAGAUUCUGAGAAAUAAAUUGGUUCUUAAUAUCAAAAUUCAAUGUAGUUGACUACUACAAUGACAAUGAGCCAAUAGACGAAAAAAAAUGUGGAAACGUCCCACAUAAAAUUAAUAGGAUGGCUUUUGGAGUUGAGGAGUUCAAGUUUGGUAAUCCGUUUUGCUGGAUUGUUAUGAGACAAUCCUAUAUACGAAGAGGGUUCCAUUUGGUAAGUUUUUUAGCUCUACACUCCAUUAUUUGAUUCUCAACUGUAUGCUGAAGUAGAUAGUACAAAUGAACUUUUUUUUUUUCGUUAUUGACAGCAUAUACCAUCCAAAUUUGCGGAGAAGUAUCUAAAAGGGGUCUGGGGCGAUAUCACACUUCAGGUUUCAAGUGGGAAGCAAUGGCGUGUUCGAUGCAUUCGUGAAGGUCCUGGCACCAAGUUAACCAGGGGAUGGGCUGACUUUGUCGUGGACAACGAUUUGAAAGAAGAAGACGUUUGUGUCUUUGAGCUGAUUAAUAUGAAAGAUAUUGUGAUGCAAGUUACAGUAUUCCGUGUCCAUGGUGAUCCAACAAAAACUUGAACCCGAGGUAAUCUUUUUACUGAAUUUGACGUCUAUUAUGUAAUGUUUUCAACGUUGACUGCUCGUUUGUCUUGCAUGCUUCAUUAGAUUAUAAGUAGUACUAACUGUUAAGUUUGAGCACAAAAUAGAAUUGAUUAUGAAAUAGUUAAGAAAUUUGAGAACAAAAUAGAAAACCAUUCCUCAGAAUUCUCAGCCAAAUGGUUUACUUACUCUAGUAUAUAUAGUGAACUGUUCCACUGAUGAUUUGAUUGUGUGCCCCUUGUGUCUUGAGGAGGUGAAGUAAAUGGAUUUUGGGUUUACAUGUAGAUUCAAAGUCUCUACGGAGUCUGGCUUCCUUAAAACAUUUAGAGGAUCAUAACUAUGGAAAUUAAGGGCUGUUUUUUAUGUUUCUGUUUCUUGUUUUUUUAGGAAGAAAGAAGAUGAAAAUUUUAUUUGAUGCAUUCUUUUAGGAGAAAAAUGUAUUUGAUUGUCAGAUUUUCAUUUAGUAACCAUUUUAUUAUUUUUUACUUUCUCAAACUUUAAAAUCAAAAGCUUUACUUGGAAAUUAUUUUUCUAAACAUAAAGUAUUUUGCUUAAUUGUCGAAAGAACAAAAUAUCUAAGUUUUUGUUCGAUAACCAUAUGGUUUUUGACUUUUAGCUUUUGAAAAUCAAGAUAUGAACAACUUUUCCACCCUUAAAUUCCUAAAUUUGUUAUCUAUUUUUACCAAUAUUUUCAAAAAUCAAGUCAAGUUUUGAAAAUAGCAAAUUGCAAAAGCCCCAUAUAAGUAUGGUGGUAGUUGCAAUUAUAUCUUCUAAGUUUAAUUAUAAAAAUUAGGUACUCAAUUUUUUACGAAAUUACACCUUCAAGUAAUAGCUUUGGGCUUCCAAAUGAUAAAAAUGACCCUCAAAUGUGUACAAUUGUUAUAAUGUCUACAAUUAUAUAAGUUUGAAGGUCUAUUUUUAACACUUGUACAAGUUUGAUGGCUUACUUUUUAUAAUUUUGAGGAUAUAAUUGCAACUACCAACAUACUUCAAGAGUGGUUUUUGUAAUUUGGAAAAGUAGUUUUUAAAAUUUUACUUUUAUUUGUGAAAUUUGUUAAAGAACUCAAUUUAAAGAAACAUAAACAUUAUUGUAAGAAAUUAAGUGGAAAUAUGUUUAAUUUUAGAAACCUAAGUAAUUAUCGAGGCUUUUAAACUAUCCCAUCACGUUUAGUUUUUCAAAUGCAAUGCUUUUAAGUGGAGAAAAAAGAGAAAAAGAUAAACAAUGUUUAUUCAUGUCUCUUAAUAAUAAAAAACAACAAGCAACAAACAAUAGUCCCAUUCGAUAACCAUUUUGUUUUUUGUUUUUAGGAAUUAAGCAUUUUAAUUUCUUACAAUAAUUAACAUUUGUCUUAAAUAAAAAAGUUGAAUUCUCAGCCCAAUUUAAAAAACAAAAACAAGUUAUCAAAAAUUGGUGAAUUGGUUUUAAAAACUCUCCUACAAUAUAACCAACAAAACUGGAUAAUGGAUGAAAAAUAAAAAUGAAUUUUUAUCACGAGAAACAUGAAAGAGUUAGAUGUCCAUAUAUUAACCCCUUGAGAAAUGAGAUGGUACAUGUGUAUAUUCUGUAACUAUAGAAAUUAUCCUCCCUCUUGUUUCUCCAUUAAUCACGCAUCUGAAAAUCUCAUAUCUUAACAUUCUACUGUCUGCACUUUUGCAGGAAAUUGGAAAAACCCCAACUGGAACAUCCAGUUUAUUGUUAUGCAAUUAUGUUGGAAUUUUUCUCCAAAGACAGAUGACAAUGAGGUCUUGGUUUACACAACACCUUGUUGUUGCAGUUUAUCCUUGUAACCUUGCCCAUGUCCAUUUUUCGUCUUUAUCAUUUACAGUUUUUUCUUCAAAGCAUGAAGUUGAAGAGUGGUUGAACUUUGAAACUCCUGUGCUUAGACCUCCAUUGUAAAUUCUUCCCUGAACGGAAAAGUAAAAAAAGUUGGUGUUUCUUUUCUCCGUAAUGUAUAUUGGCAUGAACUUUGAACUUUUUUACUCAAAAAGUUGGAGAGACUGACUCUUCUUUUCCAAGGAAAUGGAUGCCACCAAUGCAAGAACGAAUCUGUUUCAUUUCAUUUGUGAACAAGUUGGGUAAACAGUUUGGACUUGGCAGGCGCCAGUAGUCAGAGUAGUUUCCCAUCAAAUUAUGACUAUUCGGUUAAUGUAUGUUUUUUGGUAUAGUUUCCCUUUAACUAAUUGAUUUUAAAAUGUAACAUAUUAAUUCAAUAGUUUUGAGUUUGAUUUCAAUCUAGUUUAGAAGUUUCAAAAUGUUAUAACUUUCUCGUUGAAAUUUGAGUUAUGUAUCAAUUCCAUAUACUUCAAAAUUUAUGUCUACUAUUUUAAUUUUCGUUAAAUAUUCACUUUUAGUCCUGGAGGUUAAUGUCUAGUAAAAUUUUAUUAAUCAAUUAUAAUCUUUUUAAAUUAAUAGAAGAUGAGUAUUUUAUAAAAACUUGAGGUUAACUUGUAAACCUUGAAAGCUUUUAAGGAAAUAUUAAGAACUAUAAUUGUAGCAUUACAUUUCAAAAAUAAAAUUCUCAAUAAUAAUUACAAAAAAAUUCAAUAAUAUAGCAGGAUAAAAGUAAUACAAUUUGGUUAUAAACAAAUAAUAAAAGCAAUCAAUUCUGAGAGCAAAAUACAAAAACUCCUCUUUGAAAAUAAAUAAAUUAAUUGAUUUUUAGAUUCUUUCGAGUGAAAAAAAUGACAGUUUAUAAAAACGCCUGAAAAUCAAUUUGUCACUUUCUAAGAUUAUAAAACAUAACGUGUAACGCUUGUAUUUAUAAUUUUGGCACAAUUUUGUUCCAAAAUAAGAUAGUUUUUAAAUUGGAAUGUAAUGUUAAAUGGGUGUUUGUUUUUAUUAAUUUCGUCUCUUUGGUUGGAGAGAAAGCAAAUAAAUAAAUAAAUAUUCUUAUUUAUUUAUAUUUUUUUAAUAAAAAAAUAUAAAAAAAACAAAUAAAUCUUAUUAAAAGAAGAAGAAAACUGAAUAAAAGGAAAAUAAACUAAAGUAAAAAGAAACGCCGUUGCCGGGGAUCGAACCCGGGUCACCCGCGUGACAGGCGGGAAUACUCACCACUAUACUACAACGACUUGUUGAAAUGAAAUGAAGAUUUAUUUUAUUUAUCUAAUAUUUCAUGAAUAUAUGUUAGCAAUAGAAUGCUACAUAUUUCUUUUCCAAUCAAAUCUUUAAACGGAUUGAUUUUAUUUUUAAUAUAUAAAAUACAAAAUAGAAAAUUUGUAAAAAUAAUAAAUUUGAUAAAAUAUUUAGAACAUAUAGCAAAAUUUUGUUAUAGUUUAUAAAUAUUUUAAUUUACAUUGUUGUUUUUUUAAGAAGCCUCUACAAAAUAUUUGAAAUAAUAGGAUUUUCGCUCUUAAAUCCUUACUUAAGCACUUUUCUCGUCUUUUUAGUUAAGCUAAUAUAUUUGUGAUUGCAUUAAUAUAUUUUUCACAAAGGAAAUAUAAUGUUUGAGGGUUAUUUGAUAGGAUUUCUAAAUUUUAAGAAUUAGAAUUGGUAUUUGAUGUACAUGAUUUAGAAGUCUUAGUUUCUAAAGCUUAUAUUUGAGUUAUUAUGGACCAUCUAUAGCCUAUGUUGUAUUGUGGAUCAAUUUUUAUGAUAAAUUAAAAUGUUUCAUCUAUCCAUUUUAGAAUGAAUUUUAUAUUAUAUUUAUAUGUUUUGUAUUUUCAAAUCAAUUUUUUUGUUUGUAAUGAAUGACGGUGGUUUUAGAUUUAUUGUGACAAACCAAACUAUAAUAAUUUAUCAUAUACUCAUUUUCGUGGAUAAAAAAUCUAAUUAAAUGUGUCGUUUGAAUGUACUAGAGAAAAAAAAUAGUAUUUUAAAAGUUAUUUUUUAUUUAGAUUGUUUUAAUUGAAUUUUCUACAAAUAAGCUGGUAAAACACCUCAAUUUUCACCGGUAGAUAUCUCAUAUUGAGCGUAACAACAAAAACUCAAGGGAUAAAAUCUAAAAUUGAAUGUGACAAAAAAAAUGUAGUUGGAGGGGUUUGGUCAACCUCAUUCUUGGGCUUCCCUUUUUCAGUUCGACCUCCCUUUCCAAGGGCUUUUUGUAAGUUUAAAUCCCAACAUUAUAUAAACAAUAAAAGCUCAAGUCUUUCAACCAAAUAAUUUUCACAAUAAUAUGAAUUAAAGUAAUAUACUUUGAUCCAAGAAAUUGUGUUUUCCUCUGGGCGUUCCUUUAAAACUUGAUUAGGAUGAUGAAAAGAAAAAGUUACUUAAUGAGUUAGAGUGAAGAUCAAUCCUAGAGUUUCAUUUGUAUACAUACCGUCUCAUAUGGGUGUUUAAUUAAAAUAUGUUUUUUACUUGAUUGAUUGAAUAAAAUAAUACAAAAGAUAAAACAACAUAUAUGUGUGGAAGGCGAUCAUUUCACUCAAGGGUGUUGCUUAGUUAUGCACUUGCUCUUUGAUGGGCUAAUUCGUGGAGUUUCAUCUUUCUUUUGAGCCCAUUUUCUGAUUGGUUUCCCGAUGUGUAGGAUAAUAUGGAAGUAUUGUUGGUUAUUAUCUUGAAGGAUGAUUUGGUUCCUUUUUAGUUUAAAAAGUAGUAGGCUUGAGAAUGGGUGAUUUCUAAUUGUCCUUGGUAUAUGGAGGGCACUCCUAUUUUGAUGAGGAAGUAGGUUCCAAACAUUAUUUCUAAGUCCUUUGUAUUUGAUUGGGUGCCCAUUUGAGUGAAGUUGCUCAAAGUUUCUUGAGAAUUGUAGACUCCUAAGUGUGUUGAGUGUUUUGUGUGGCCAAGAGUAUUUGAUUUAGCAAUAUGUAUGGAUAAGACUAUCUAAGAGUUGUGAAUUGUCUACCCAUCUCUUGUGUUGAGGUAAGAGUAGUGAUUUUCCAUGUGUUUUGUGACAAUAUAGUUGCGAACAUAGAAUAUGCUUGGAUGGUGUACAAAUGUGCUUAUUGGGGUGAUGGUUUUGGCCUAUCUAUUGAUAAGCGUGGGGGAGAGGGUUGAUAAGGCACUUUUCUUUUGUACAUUUAGCUCUUAUUAGUGGUGAUUUGAUUCUCACCACUAAUUAGAGCCUAGCUAUAGGGUUGUUGUUCUUUUAUUCAAGGGGCAAUUAGUCUUCUAUGAUGGGAGGUUAGGGUUAGGUUCUUACGUUAGUCUUAUGGCUCACUUGGUGGUGUUUAGAACGUCAAAUUUACAUAAAGACACUAUAAAUUAUUGUAUUCUUUAGCGUUGUUCUAAUGAUGUCUCUGAUUUAGUGGUCAAUUACUGUUAUGUGCUAACGAGUCUUAACUCUUAGCAAACUUUUAAGACUUGUAAAAGGAUUUAGGAUAUUAAUUUAUUUUUUUGUGAUUUUAUUGAUUUCUUCAUGCUCAAAAGUUGUAAGUUUUUUAUAUGUUUUGUUUCUUCUAUUUUGGUUGUAGGAUUAGUUCUCUUUAGUUUGUGCUCUAACCUCAAAUUAAGAGGAAUUAUAUAUUAUAUAUUACGUAUAUCACCUUUAACCAAAUAAUUUGAGAAAUUUUCGUGUUUUUUAAUUUUUAUUUUUGGGAAAUCUUCAUUUUGAUGGAUCAAUAAUGGAUUUAAAGAAAAAAAGAAAGAAAGAAGAAUGCUAAUGUAAUCAAUUUGUGUGACAUUAGAGUUUCCUCUAAAUACCAAAACAGAUUUAGAAUUUGGAGCAUCAACGAAUUUUGUUCAUCUUCUUCUUCUUCUUCACCAGUUUGCAUUUCUAAUAAUGUCUUGAACUUUUCACUGUAACUUAGAAACUGAAGGCUGAAAACUUCCUCUUAGAAUCCUUCGUCGGUUUCACAAUCUCAGGAAAGCGAAAAAAUUGCUCUGAAUUUUCCGUAGCAGAAGGAAAUUGAAUGAGUCUGAAUCAUCAUUCGGAGUCUUUUGGGGUUUUAAAGGAUUUGCAAUGAAUUAUUUCAGGAAAUUCCAUGGAGAAGGAUGAUGCAGGGACUUCACCACCAACAGCAGCAACUAGCGGCCCUUCUCAACGUAGCUUUGCGGAAGGAUGAUCCUAAUCCCACUACCUCAAGUUCCAGUACCGCCGGUGCCACUUCCGACGAGGACGACUCUGCUAGAAUUGCAGCUAUCAAUUCAAUCCAUCGUGCCAUUGUUUAUCCUCCUAAUUCGCUUCUUGUAACUCACUCCGCCACUUUCCUCUCCCAGGGCUUCUCUCAGCUUCUAUCUGAUAAGUAAGACCUCCUCUUCUGGUUAUACAUUGCUGGAGUUUCUUCUCUUGAUUUUUCUGUACCGUUUUUCACUUUGUGGUGCGGAAAGAUCGUAUGGUAUUUUUGGCUUCGAGCUUAGAGUGCAUAUACAUUUUUUCAUUGUUGCCCUUUUUUUUCUAUCUGUGUGGAUUACUCAUGGUCUCUCUAGAAAUGUGCUUAUUAACGAAUUGGAAUUUUGAGCAAAUCCAUGGUGACUGGGCCGCCAACCUAGGAUUUAAUGCUAUAUGGGUUUCUUUAGUACCUAAAUGUUGGAGGGUCAAACGAGUUAUUCGAGAGAUUAGUUGAGGUGCGUCAAACGAAUUGUUCGUGAGAUUAGUUGAGGUGCGUCAAAAGAGGUGUUCAUGAUAUUAUUUGAGGUGCGUGUAAGUUGGCUUAGACACUCGUAAAAAAAGAACGGGAAUUUUGAGCAAGCUGGGGCAAUUAUCCUUUGUGUUGAACUCAAAUUGAAAAUUUUGGUUCUAAGAAAUAUACUCAAAUCUCAUUUUCUUCAAAAUUUUUGGUACUUUUGCUAGUAGUAUAAUGGGAAAAGUAGGUUUUUGCCUAUUGUUUCCAGUUCUUGUUUUAUAUACGUAAAACGGGGAUCCAUAAUUUUUUUUACUGAAUGUUAUUAUUGAUGCAACUAUUUCUUGAUUCCACAUAUUAGGUCAUACCCAGUGAGACAGGCGGCAGCCAUUGCUUAUGGAGCUCUCUGUGCUGUCUCAUGUUCAAUCACUGCAUCACCAAAUGGAAGGCAAAAUAGUGUACUACUUGGAACUUUGGUUGAUCGAUUCAUUGGUUGGGCAUUGCCAUUGCUUAGCCAUGUCACUGCAGGUGAUGCAACCACCAAGUUGGCAUUGGAGGGAUUGCAAGAGUUCAUUAACAUUGGAGAAGCUGGUGCUGUGGAGAGAUUUGCUUUGCCAAUCCUUAAAGCAUGCCAAGUACUUCUUGAGGAUGAGAGAACUCCCUUGUCUUUAUUACAUGGACUAUUAGGAGUUUUAACUUUGAUUUCUUUGAAGUUUUCUAGAUCCUUCCAACCUCAUUUCCUUGAUAUUGUUGAUCUGCUUCUAGGUUGGGCAUUAGUUCCAGAUCUAACCGAUUCAGAUAGGCACAUCAUUAUGGACAGUUUCUUACAGUUUCAGAAGCACUGGGUGGGUAAUUUGCAGUUUUCUCUGGGGUUAUUGUCAAAGUUCUUGGGUGACAUGGAUGUAUUACUUCAAGAUGGGAGUCCUGGGACGCCUCAACAAUUCCGCAGGUUACUUGCAUUACUUUCUUGUUUUUCAACAAUUCUUCGGUCUGCUGCUUCCGGGUUGUUGGAAUUGAACCUUCUUGAGCAAAUAAGUGAACCACUUUCGAGAAUGCUUCCUCAGUUGUUGGGAUGCUUAUCUAUGGUUGGACGUAAAUUUGGAUGGUUGGAGUGGAUUGAUAAUUUGUGGAAAUGCUUGACUCUUUUGGCAGAAAUAUUACGUGAGCGUUUUUCCACCUAUUAUCCACUUGCUAUUGAUAUCCUAUUCCAAAGUUUGGAAAUGACCAGAGCUAACCGUGUAGUGAAAGGUCAGAAGAUUACGUUUCUUCAAGUUCAUGGUGUUUUGAAAACUAAUCUUCAAUUAUUGUCCCUUCAAAAAUUUGGGCUGCUGCCAUCAUCUGUGCACAGAAUACUGCAAUUUGAUGCACCAAUAUCUCAGCUUAGAAUGCAUCCAAAUCAUUUGGUAACAGGUAGUUCUGCUGCCACUUAUAUAUUCUUGCUCCAACAUGGGAAUAAUGAAGUUGUUGAACAAACGGUGGCAUUAUUAAUUGAAGAGCUAGGUAUGUUCAGUGGCUUGUUAGAAAAAGGUUUAGAUCAAAGAGGUAUCAAUGGUAUUCUUGAUUCUCAAUUUUGUUCAACUAUGGAUUUGUUCGCCCUAAUUAAGUUUGAUUUGAGAGCCUUAUUGACAUGUACUAUCUCUAGUGGAACUAUUGGUCUGAUAGGCCAAGAAAACGUUGCUUUCACAUGUCUAAAAAGGUCAGAAAGAUUGAUUUCCUUCAUUAUGGAAAAACUGAAUCCUUUUGACUUUCCACUUCAGGCUUAUGUGGAAUUGCAAGCUGCUAUCCUCGAUACAUUGGACAGGUUGACCACAACUGAAUUCUUUUGCAAGUGCUCUUUGAAGAAAUUGAGCAGCGAGAACCGUUUUCUGGAUUCAGGAGAAAACAUAGAUUCUUAUCAAAAAAAAGGAGAAAACAUAGAUGAAGCCCAUCUAAAGAAGGAUCAUUCAGCUAUUAUUAUUGAGCAACUAACAAAAUACAAUGCUCUCUUCUCCAAAGCCCUUCAUAAAGCAUCUCCACUAACAGUUAAAAUAACAACCCUGGGUUGGAUUCAGAGAUUCUGUGAGAAUGUCGUUACUAUUUUUAAGAAUGACAAGACAUAUGCCAACUUUUUUGAAGAAUUUGGAUAUUUUAGCGUCAUAGGAAACUUGAUUUUUAUGGUAAUUGAUGCCGCAUCUGACAGGGAGCCUAAGGUGAGAUCUAAUGCAGCUUCAGUAUUGGAGCUGCUUCUGCAAGCAAAAAUUGUUCAUCCCAUAUACUUUUAUCCCAUCGCUGACGUAGUCCUGGAAAAACUUGGUGAUCCAGAUAAUGAAAUAAAAAACUCAUUCGUGAGGUUGCUUUCUCAUAUUUUGCCCACGGCACUUUAUGCAUGUGGUCAAUAUGACCUUGGAUCAUAUCCUGCUUGUAGGCUUCAUCUUCUGAGAUCUGAUCAUAAAUCUAGCCUGCACUGGAAACAAGUAUUUGCCUUGAAGCAGCUUCCUCAGCAAAUUCAUUUUCAACAACUAAUUUCCAUUUUGAGCUACAUAUCACAAAGAUGGAAAGUUCCUGUUGCAUCAUGGACCCAGCGGCUCAUCCAUAGAUGUGGGAGAUUGAAAGACAUUGAUUUGAGUCAAAGUGAGGAGAUGGGGAACCUAGGUGCAAAUGGUUUAUGGUUAGAUCUCAGGCUGGAUGAUGAUUUUCUUAAUGGGAAUUGCUCAGUUAAUUGUGUAGCCGGAGUCUGGUGGGCCAUCCAUGAAGCAGCUAGAUACUGUAUUUCUCUACGUCUACGAACGAACCUUGGUGGGCCUACCCAGACUUUUGCAGCACUAGAGAGAAUGCUUUUGGACAUAGCACACUUGUUACAGCUUGAUAAUGAACAUAGUGAUGGGAAUUUAACCAUGGUUGGGGCUUCUGGAGCCCGUUUAUUGCCCAUGAGGUUACUAUUGGAUUUUGUUGAGGCCUUAAAGAAAAAUGUUUAUAAUGCAUAUGAGGGGUCUGCAGUCUUAUCACCUGCUACUCGCCAAAGUUCAUUGUUUUUCCGAGCAAACAAGAAAGUUUGUGAGGAGUGGUUUUCACGUAUGUGUGAGCCAAUGAUGAAUGCUGGAUUGGCACUUCAAAGCCAAUAUGCUGCAAUCCAAUAUUGUACGCUGCGUUUGCAAGAGUUCAAGAAUCUUGUUAUGUCACAUAUGAAGGAAAAGUGUAAUUUACAGGUCGGUGAAAACAUCCACAACACAAAUAAACUUACAAGAGAUAUCUCAAGGGUUUUGAGGCACAUGACUUUGGCUCUUUGUAAAAGUCAUGAAGCAGAAGCUUUGGUUGGUCUACAGAAAUGGGUUGAAAUGACAUUCUCUUCCCUGUUUCUGGAGGAAAGCCAGAGUCUUGGUAACUUUACACUAGGACCCUUUUCAUGGAUUACAGGGCUAGUCUAUCAAGCAAGAGGUCAAUAUGAAAAAGCAGCUGCUCACUUUAUCCACUUGUUACAGACUGAAGAGUCACUUGCUUCUAUGGGUUCUGAUGGUGUACAGUUCACCAUUGCUCGUAUUAUUGAGGGAUAUACAGCUAUGGCUGAUUGGACAUCUCUGGAAUCAUGGUUAUCGGAGUUGCAAUCUCUUCGUUCUAAACAUGCUGGGAAGAGCUACUCUGGUGCUCUAACUACAGCUGGCAAUGAAAUAAAUGCAAUCCAUGCAUUGGCACACUUUGAUGAAGGAGAUUAUGAGGCAUCAUGGGCAUGUCUUGGUUUGACACCAAAGAGUAGCAGUGAGCUAACUCUAGAUCCCAAGCUGGCUUUGCAGAGGAGUGAGCAGAUGCUUUUACAGGCACUGCUUCUCUAUAAUGAGGGAAGGUUGGAAAAGGUGUCCCAAGAAAUCCAGAAGGCAAGAGCAAUGCUGGAGGAAACGUUGUCAGUCUUGCCUCUGGAUGGCUUGGAAGAAGCAGCUGCAUUUGCUACACAAUUACAUAGCAUUUCUGCAUUUGAAGAAGGUUACAAGCUUACAGGCAGUGUAGACAAGCACAAACAGUUAAAUUCAAUAUUGAGUGUUUAUGUUCAGUCUGUGCAAUCUUCUUUUUGUAGAAUUAAUCAAGAUUGCAACCCAUGGAUAAAAAUUCUUCGGGUUUAUCGAGUGAUCUCACCAACUUCUCCAGUCACCCUUAAACUCUGCAUUAAUUUGUUAAGUUUGGCUCGUAAACAGAAAAACCUGAUGUUGGCAAAUAAUUUAAACAAUUAUAUUGAUGACCAUAUAUCAAAUUGUUCUGAUGAAAAGCAUUGUCUAUUUCUCCUUUCAAGUUUGCAGUAUGAGAGAAUCUUGUUAAUGCAAGCUGAGAAUAGAUUUGAAGAUGCUUUCACAAAUAUCUGGUCCUUUGUGCAUCCUCACAUCAUGUCUUUCAACUCAAUUGAGUCGAACUUUGAUGAUGGUAUUUUGAAAGCAAAAGCAUGCUUAAAACUUUCUCGUUGGUUAAAACAGGAUUUAGAAGCUUUGAACUUGGAUCAUAUUAUACCUAAGCUGAUUGCUGAUUUUAAUGUGACUGACAAAUCCUCUGUAAGAGGAGAAUUCUCCAUCUGUAGUGAGAACUUACAUUCUGGACCUGGACCAAGUAUAGAACUUAUCAUUGAGGAGAUUGUGGGUACGAUGACUAAAUUAUCCACUCGUCUUUGUCCUACAUUUGGUAAGGCAUGGAUUUCUUAUGCAUCUUGGUGCUUUGCUCAAGCUGAAAGUUCUCUCCAUACUUCAAGUGGAACUGCUCUCCGCUCAUGCUUGUUUUCUUCUAUACUAGAUCCUGAAGUUCAUUCUGAGAAAUAUAGACUAACUAAAGAUGAAAUCAUAAAAGUGGAACGCCUGAUUUAUGUUCUCGUUCAGAAAAGUCAUGAAGCAAAAAUUGUUAAUGAUGAUCGAAGAGAAUGGAGUUCUGAGACCUUAGAGGAUUUGAAACUUGAUGGCACUGUCAAGGCCUUGUUGCAGCAAGUAAUAAAUAUCAUCGAGGCUGCAGCUGGUUUGUCAAAUACUGAAAACCCUGGGAAUGAAUGCCUAACUGAUGUCUUUACUUCUGAGUUAAAGUUAUUUUUUCAGCAUGCUAGUAUUGACCUAGAUGACACUAGCGCGGUAACCGUUGUUCAGGACUUGGUAGAUGUUUGGAGGUCCCUGAGGAGUAGAAGAGUGUCUCUCUUUGGUCAUGCUGCUAAUGGCUUUAUACAAUAUCUUUUGCAUUCCUCUAUAAAAGCUUGUGAUGGUCAGCUGGCGGGCUAUGACUGCGGGUCAAUGAAACAGAAGUCUGGAAAAUACACACUGAGGGCGACAUUGUACGUUCUACAUAUUCUUCUCAAUUAUGGAGCCGAGUUAAAAGAUUCUCUUGAACCUGCUCUAUCAACAGUCCCACUCUCUCCAUGGCAGGUUUGAUUUCUGUUUCUGAUUUAAAUCAUUUUUGUUUUCCUUUUGGAACUAAUUUGAUAAUGUUGUAGUUUAGAACAUAUUUUUAUUUUAUGAUUCUAGGAAGUGACACCACAGUUAUUUGCUCGCCUGAGUUCUCAUCCUGAGAAAAUUGUGAGGAAGCAGUUGGAGGGAUUGGUGAUGAUGCUGGCUAAGCAGUCUCCAUGGUCUGUAGUAUACCCAACGCUGGUUGACGUAAAUUCUUAUGAAGAGAAGCCUUCAGAGGAACUUCAGCAUAUACUUGGUUCUCUGGUAACAUGAUUUCUUUCAUUAAUUUAAUUUCAUCAAGCCUUUUCAUAUUUAAUACAUUUUAUUUUGAUGAGGAGUUUUCCCCUCUGUUUGAAUGUCUUUAUUUAAGCUUCUUUUGGCAACGGGUGGGAAACUGCUCCUGACUGGAAAAAGGUCUUAAACUUAUUCUAUGUGUUGUCUGAUUAACUGUUGAGUGAUUCAGUCUUUGACACUAACUAAAUUAGUCAAUUCUGGGGCUCUUUAGGUCCUAAAUCUCUGACCUUUUCUAGCUGGGGCUAAAUUAUUCAGUUCACAUAUUUCCUCCAAAAUCAUAUCAGAAUUAGAUCAGUCUUCCGUAUUUGAUUUCUUGAUGGAGUCUUCAUCAGUUUGGUCUUUCUUUUUAUCCUUGCACAAUGUACCAUUAUAUGGUCUCUUCAAGAAAAUGAUAUUGUCUAUUAUAGCUUGAAAAGAGGGACCAUCUCCAAGAAGGAGUGAUGAAUUGAUCUUUUGUACAGGAUGUGAAUUGAUUGUUUGUAGAGGAGUUUUCAUGCUUAAGGAGGAAUAAUGGAAAAACACACAUUUAGAUUCCUGUUAUAGUGGUCUUUAUUUAAAGAAAGAGAAACAUAAGGAUUUUCAAAGAUAAGUUGAUGUUAUUGAUCAUGGUCUUGACUCUUGAGUGUCAUUUUGGCUUCUUUGAGUUUUAUUGACUAGGCUUUUAAAAGACACUUCUAGAGUUUUUUUGAUAAGAGUUGGAUGCCAGUUGUGGUGGAAUCCUUUGGAAAAGUGGGUAAGUCUUCUGUUUAUGGGGAAUAGAGGCAGUUAUUCAUAAUCCGCUAAGUUCAUAACCCAAUGCAAGAAUAUAUGAUGAUGGGCUGGUUUUGUUAUAAGAUCCAAUAUUAAUAUCUUAAAUACUGGACUGCUGGUUUGGAAGAAAAUAGGAAAAGGUAAGAAAAGAGUCUUCUUUCUGAGCUUGAAUCUUUCGAUGCAAAAACUAAACUCAAGGAGAUUUUUAAUCUUCAAUUUGAUAUAUAAUCUACAUUCAAAUGUGAAAUUAUGGAUUCAUAACUAUUGUUUUGGCUGUUUUUUCUUUCUUUUGUUUGAACUGUACUUCGAUUGUUUGCUUCUUUUCAUUUAUUCAUUGAAAAGUUUUGUUUCCUUUAAAAGAUAAACUAGUUGUGUUUUCGGUUAAUUUUUCUAUUUGUGGUAGAAUUUCUUGUAAUAUUUCUACUCUGAAUAUACUUUUGAAUGAUAGUUGGCUCCUUAUAUGAAAAAAAAUCAUCGGCUGCUUUAUGAAUCAUGUAGAAAAAUACCACCUUUUAAUAUUUUGCUGAUUAUACUACCUAGCAAAAUGCAAAUUCGAGUGCCUGCCUCCAUUUUAAAUUGAUAAACUUUCCAAUGGCAUGGUGCUUGUUUGUUGGAAAUGUUUUCGGUUUGAAUCAAUAAAUUCAUGGUUACAGUUGAAAAGCAAGAUUGUUGAAACAUGCUCAUGAUACCUGCAGAAAGAGCAUUAUCCAAGAUUGAUCGAAGAUGUUCAAUUGAUGAUAAAAGAGCUGGAAAAUGUAACUGUACUUUGGGAAGAGCUAUGGCUCAGCACACUUCAAGAUCUUCAGACAGGUGAGAAGCAUGAUUUUAAAUCUACAUAAUGACACUUUUACCUGACAUAAAUUAUUCUAUAAUGCAGAAAUUUGUUUUUGGUUGCCAACUCACCACAAUAAAUAUAACUUCAAGUUUGACCAUAAUUGACCUUUCACGUGAAAUUUAGGUGCCAAAUUUGACCUGUAGGUUCUGAGACUCAGGGAUAUCAUACCUGCUCUAUGAUUUGCCCAAGUUUCCGUUAUUACUGAAUUUCCUGCACUGAGUAGUUGCUGCGACAUAUUGUAACUAGCACUUCACCUUGGCAUGUUGUAACGUUCAAGAACAAUACCAAUUUGUAAAUUAUCCUUUAAUUGAACAUUUUUCUUUUGAUAAGAAACAACUAAGAUAUAUUCAGAAAAGUCCAACAGUCUAGGGUAAGGUUGAGACAACCCCCAAAGGCCAAAAAGAGCUAUACAAGGAGGGUCUUCCAAUCACUAAUACCAUCAAAAGGCUGUAAUUACAUAAGAAAUUAUUCUGUAAAUAUAUUCACCAAGAGGCCAUAUUUUGUGUCCUAUCACAAAAUUUUAAGAAGUGGAAGGGUGUAGAAUUAUCUUCGGAGGUUCUAGACUAGUUUCUUUCCUCCCAAAUAAGCUGCAAAAUGCUCUAAAGGUGAAACUACCCACCACUUUGGCCUUUUUCUUCAGAUUCUAAGCAGCCAGGCCUUCCAACAUCCAAUUGUCAAUGUUUUUAUGGAGACAAAACUGUAAACCCAGUAUUCCUGCAGCGAUCCAAUCUUGAUUGGCAAAAUCACAAUGCAAAAAGAGGUGGCCAAGGCCUUCUGCCUCUUUCAAGAGCAUUCUGCUUUCCAAAGUGGACAAAAACCACCUUCUAAACUUCCUUUGGAGUCUAUCAUCAUUGUUCAAAUUCCUAUAGGCUGAAGACCAAAACUUUAAUUUUCUGAUGGUUGUCAUGUUUUCAUGUAAGCGUAAUCGGAGCAGAGUUUAUGCUAUUGGGCUUGGAAGCAAGACUAAAGGUGGAGUUGGAAGAGUUUAUGUUACUUGAACACUAUCUGUUGUACAUCUGUCACCUUGAAUUAUGAGGAAUGCCAAUUUGUAAAUUAUUGAGAAUUUUGUUGAUUUGUUUUUCCUUAUACAAAGCAAAAGAUUGAGAAGUCUAUAUUUUGCAGAUGUUAUGAGACGCAUAAAUGUACUCAAGGAAGAAGCUGCUCGAAUUGCUGCAAAUGUCACUCUCAGCCAGAGUGAGAAAGACAAGAUAAAUGCUGCUAAGUACUCAGCCAUGAUGGCCCCCAUUGUGGUGGCUUUGGAGCGUCGUUUGGCUUCAACAUCUCGAAAACCUGAAACACCCCAUGAAACCUGGUUCCAUGAAGAGUAUAAAGAACAGCUGAAAUCAGCUAUUUUUACCUUCAAGAAUCCUCCAUCCUCUGCUGCUGCACUUGUUGAUGUAUGGCGGCCAUUUGAUGAUAUUGCAGCAUCUUUGGCAUCUUAUCAGAGAAAGUCAUCAAUUUCUUUAAAAGAAGUUGCACCGAUGUUAACUUUGUUAUCAUCAUCUGACGUACCAAUGCCUGGUUUUGAGAAGCAUGUUAUCUAUUCAGAAGCUGAUAGAAGCAUUGGCUCUAAUCUUUCAGGAACUGUUACAAUUGGUUCUUUCUCAGAGCAAGUGACUAUCUUGUCUACAAAGACAAAACCUAAAAAGCUUGUAAUACUGGGUUCUGAUGGUGAAACCUACACAUAUCUCUUAAAGGGUAGAGAGGAUCUGCGUCUUGAUGCUAGAAUCAUGCAAAUGUUGCAAGCUAUCAAUAGUUUCCUGUAUUCAUCUCAUUCAACUUAUGGUCAAUCUCUCUCCAUUCGCUAUUAUUCUGUAACUCCAAUUAGUGGUAGAGCUGGUCUCAUCCAAUGGGUGAACAAUGUAAUGAGUGUAUAUACUGUAUUCAAGUCAUGGCAACACCGGGUCCAGGUGGCACAACUCUCAGCAGUUGGUGCUAGCAAUUUGAAAAGUUCUGUACCUCCACAGCUUCCACGUCCGAGUGAUAUGUUUUAUGGUAAAAUCAUACCAGCACUCAAAGAGAAAGGCAUAAGGAGAGUGAUUUCACGUAGAGAUUGGCCUCAUGAAGUUAAACGUAAAGUUCUUUUGGAUCUUAUGAAGGAGGUUCCCAAACAACUUCUUUAUCAAGAACUCUGGUGUGCUAGUGAAGGAUUCAAAGCUUUCAGUUUGAAACUAAAAAGGUAUAACUAUUUUGGUUUGUGUUGUAACAUGCUAAACUUUCUUUCUGUCAAAUACAAACAAAGGGCUAAUUGGCAAAAAGUUGUUUUUCUUAUGCUUGCAUAUAGAAAUUUUUAGGUGAUUAAAGGUAUAAUUGUCCUUUCCCCUUUUCAGCAUUUUUCUUUUAUUUUUUUUUCAAAGGGGUAUUUUCCGGCAUGAUUUUAUUUAAGGACGUUUUCUACAGAAAAUUUUAGUUUAUCAAAGGAAUGAUUACCUUUUUUUUCUUGCUUCUUUCUUCUCCUUGAUCUUCUAUUUUUUUUCUCCUCAAAUUGUAAUUUUCUAUUUUUCUGUAAUACUUCUUUUCUGAACUACUCUCCAAUUACUACUGUUUUCAGCAUGAUUUUUAUUUAAGAUUGUUUGCCUUGCAAGUUGUAUUAUGAAAUAUAUAUUCUUCUUUUUUCUUGUAUUUGCUUAACUUUCUAGAAAGUAAAGUUUCAAUUAGGAUUUCUUUACAAAGAAAUAAAAUUUACUGGCAUGUUUGAAAAUCAGGUUUAACAACAGAAAACAUUUAAAAAAUAAAUAUAAUUAAUACCAUUUGUGUUUUCUUGUUUGGUAGAGUAUUUCAAAAACAAAUUUUUUGAAUAAAAAUCUGUAAAAAUAGUAUUUGUUGCAGAAAUAAGUACAAGGUAUUAGGUAUGUUUCCUCAGGAAAAAAAAGAACAUGAGACUUGAGAGUAAACACAGAAAAUAGGUGCAAGGUUUGAAGAAGAGAGAUCUUUUGUGAUAAAGGUAGACGGUGAAAUAUGUUUUGGAUGAUCCAGAGCUGAUAGUGGCUAGGAAAAUCUGAAAAUAACAUUCAGAACUUGUAAAUUUAAAAUUUGGAAUUGGUCAUGUUCAGUUCAUAAUUGCCUGCCAGCCAACAUUUUUGCGAUAAAACUAAAUUGAUGUUGAGCCAUUCUGUGACAGUUUUCCCUUCCUUUCAUUUCUUUUGAUUUGCAAUAAUCUAGAUUCAGUCUGCUAAUCUUGCAAGAUAUAAAAUUUGUUCUCUACUCAGGUAUGCUGGAAGUGUUGCAGCAAUGAGUAUGGUGGGACACAUCUUGGGCUUAGGCGAUAGACAUCUGGAUAAUAUUCUUAUGGAUUUCUCUACUGGAGAUGUUGUACAUAUUGACUAUAAUGUUUGUUUUGAUAAAGGCCAGAAACUGAAAGUGCCAGAGAUUGUUCCCUUUCGUCUCACCCAAACUAUGGAAGCAGCUUUAGGACUGACAGGAAUAGAAGGGACCUUCAGAGCAAACUGUGAGGCUGUGCUAGAAGUUCUGAGAAAGAACAAAGAUAUACUCCUAAUGCUGCUAGAAGUUUUUGUGUGGGAUCCUCUUGUGGAAUGGACCCGUGGUGAUUUCCAUGAUGAUGCCACUAUAGGUGGUGAAGAAAGAAGAGGCAUGGAGUUGGCUGUUAGCUUGAGUCUAUUUGCAUCUCGUGUGCAGGAAAUUCGUGUCCCCUUGCAGGUUCUAGUCAUUUCCACUGAAUGAUAAUUGCUUUAUUUCUAUUUUCCUCUCUUUAAUUAUAGUGUCUUUUCUGCUAGUAUUUCUAGUUCAUUUAUGCUUAUAAACCACCAAUCAAGUUCACCUAUAAAAGGUGUACAAAGAAGAUGACCAAUCAGCCAGAUGCUGUUGAGCCAAUCAUUUGAUUGUGUGAUAAUGUUGGCUAGUUUGAAUGGAAAUCAUGUAGGUGAUACCGACGAUAAAAGGGUCCUUGGAAGUAGUAGUUUGUUAUUGCUGUUUGUAUUAAGUUAACAGGGAGAGAGGUACUUGUAUGGGGGGAAAAAGAGAGAGAAGGAGAGGGUAAGCUGGGAGGGAUUCAGGACCAUCCAACUUCCUUAAGAACUAAUAAUAUUGAUUUGUAAGCCAUGUCUGAGAUUUUGACAUGCUUCAAGUCAAUUAAGUUAUUUGAUGUGUGCUAUUAUAUAUGUAUAACACCUAUUUCCUCAUUUAAAAGAUGGAAUUAUCUCUAUCACACCUUGAAAGUUCUUAAUUUUCAAAAUUCAUUUCUUAUUGUCCAGAAAAUUUUCAGUCCAUCUUGGUAGUGCUUUACUCACUCAGAAGUUAGUGAUCACAAAACAUAAAACUUGGACUCAUUACUGUACAAUAGAUGAAAUGUUCUUUUUUACCCCAAAAAAAAAAAAAAUACUGUACAAUAAUGAUUUAUUGAAUUGUGGAAUUCAAUACUAACCUAGGUUCCAUUAUAACUCUCUAAAUUUAAAAGAACUAAAAUGUUUUGAGUUUAUGUUUAAUAGAUUUUGCUUGUGCAAACUCAUUAUAACUCUUAACAUUUUCCAGGAGCAUCAUGAUCUUUUAUUGGCUGCCCUACCUGCUGCUGAGUCUUCUCUUGAGGUACUGUACUGCUUGACACUUGUAUCUUGUUUGUAAUUUCCUGAGCUUCUACCAUCUUCACUUGUUGCUUCCAUGAAUUUCUCUGAACCAAAUAAUCUAUUCCAGGGGUUUGCAAAUGUCCUAAAUCACUAUGAGCUUGCCUCUACGCUCUUUUAUCAAGCUGAACAAGAAAGAUCAAGCAUAGUUUUGCGUGAAACAUCAGCUAAGUCAGUUGUUGCUGAUGCAACAUCUAGUGCAGAGAAAGUUCGUACACUAUUUGAAAUGCAGGCUCGAGAGCUUGCUCAAGGUAAGGCUAUUGUUUCUGAGAAAGCUCAAGAGGCAUCAACCUGGAUUGAGCAACAUGGAAGAGUCCUUGAUAAUAUAAGGAGCAAUUUGAUUCCCGAAAUAGACAUGUGUUUGAAUAUGAGAGCAAUUGGAGAAGCUUUGUCACUUAUAUCUGCCGUUACGGUGGCUGGAGUUCCAGUGACAGUUGUACCUGAGCCCACUCAAGUGCAAUGUCAUGAUAUAGAUAGGGAGAUUUCUCAGCUUAUAGCUGCACUAAGCGAUGGACUUUCUUCUGCUAUAGCUACAAUUCAAGUUUAUUCUGUUUCUUUGCAGAGAUUUCUUCCUCUAAACUAUGUAACGACUAGUGUAGUUCAUGGCUGGGCUCAGGCUUUACAAUUAUCUAAGAAUGCCCUCUCCUCUGAUAUUAUUUCACUUGCUAGAAGACAGGCUACUGAACUUAUGAUGAAAGUAAAUGAUAAUAAUGAUUCUGUACAAGUCAGUCAUGACAAUAUGUGUGUUCAAGUGGAUAAGUACGCAAAGGAAAUUGCAAAAAUUGAAGAAGAGUGUACUGAGCUCUUGACCUCUAUUGGUACAGAAACGGAAUUGAAAGCUAAGGAUCGGCUUCUAUCAACUUUUACUAAAUAUAUGACGUCUGCUGGCCUUGUAAAGAGAGAAGCUAUUCCAUCUCUCCAGAUGGGACGAGUUACACAUGAUGGGAAAAAGGACAUCAACAUGCAGCUGGAGCUUGUGGCAGAAAAGGAGAAAAAGGAAAAGCUACUAUCUAGUAUUAACGUUGCUCUGGAUAUUCUAUACUGUGAGGCAAGAGGAAAAAUACUGGACAUUUUGAAUGAUAUGAAUGAUGGGAGACUAGUGAAUAGAACUACAUCUCAUGAUUUUAAUGUUGUUUUCUCCAAUCUAGAAGAGCAAGUGGAGAAAUGUAUGCUUUUGUCAGAGUUUCAUUCUGAAUUAUUGGAUUUGAUUGAUGUUAAGGUGCUGAGUGUUGAAAACAAAUAUAAAAGUUGGCAUAGGAAUCAUUCUCAUAGAAAUUGGACUUCUACUUUUGCUGUCAUGUUCUCUUCUUUCAAAGACCUGAUAGGGAAAAUGACUGAUGCUGUUCUACCUGAUAUAAUUAGAUCUGCUAUUUCGGUGAAUUCAGAAGUUAUGGAUGCAUUUGGGCUGGUCUCACAAAUUCGAGGAUCAAUUGAUACAGCACUAGAUCAGUUUCUUGAGGUUCAAUUAGAGAAGGCUUCGUUAAUUGAAUUGGAAAAAAAUUAUUUUAUCAAUGUUGGCCUCAUUACAGAGCAGCAGUUGGCCCUUGAGGAAGCUGCUGUAAAGGGCAGGGAUCAUCUCUCUUGGGAAGAGGCCGAGGAGCUUGCUUCAGAGGAGGAAGCUUGCAGGGCAGAACUGCAUCAACUCCAUCAAACAUGGAACCAGAGAGAUGUACGCAGCUCGUCUCUUGCAAAGAGGGAGGCUAAUUUAGUACAUGCUUUGGCUUCAUCGGAAUGCCAGUUUCAAUCUCUUAUCAGUGCUGCAGUGGAGGAGACUUUUACGAAAGGCAACACCUUAUUGGCCAAAUUAGUUAAACCAUUCUCUGAACUGGAAUCUAUUGAUGAAAUCUGGUCUUCCUCUGGAGUUUCUUUUUCAUCUAUCUCAAAUGGGAUUCCUACUUUGUCAGAUGUGGUGAGUUCUGGGUAUCCAAUAUCUGAAUAUAUUUGGAGGUUUGGUGGACAAUUAAGCAGUCAUUCUUUCUUUAUUUGGAAAAUUUGUGUUGUGGAUUCUUUCCUUGAUUCGUGCAUACAUGAAAUUGCUUCAGCCGUGGAUCAGAAUUUCGGAUUUGAUCAGCUCUUUAAUGUUAUGAAGAAAAAACUUGAGCUUCAGCUUCAAGAAUAUAUUUUUAGGUACCUUAAAGAACGGGGUGUUCCUGCAUUCUUGGCUUGGCUGGAUAGAGAAAGGGAACAUUUAAAACCACUGGAGGCAAGAAAAGACAAUUUCCAUGAACACCAUGAUGAACAAAUUAAAGAUUUGGAAUUUAUUGAGAGGAUCCGAUACAUGCUGCAGGAACACUGUAAUGUGCAUGAAACUGCCAGAGCAGCAAGGUCUACAGUUUCACUUAUGAGAAAACAGGUGAAUGAGCUCAAAGAAACUCUUCAGAAGACUAGUCUGGAAAUUAUUCAAAUGGAGUGGUUACAUGACAAUAGUUUGACUCCAUCACAAUUUAAUAGGGCCACCUUGCAAAAAUUUCUCUCUGUUGAGGAUAGGUUAUACCCUAUUAUUCUAGACCUUAGCCGAUCUGAAUUGCUGGGAAGUUUGCGAUCGGCUACUUCAAGGAUAGCUAAGUCAAUUGAAGGCCUAGAAGCUUGUGAGCGAGGCUCUCUUACAGCUGAAGCACAGCUGGAGAGAGCAAUGGGGUGGGCUUGUGGUGGCCCAAAUACUGGUCCGGUGAUAAAUACUUCUAAGGCUUCAGGGAUUCCUCCUCAAUUCCAUGACCAUAUCUUGAGGCGGAGGCAGUUGUUAUGGGAAACUAGAGAAAAGGUAUCAGAUAUUAUUAAGAUUUGCAUGUCUAUAUUGGAAUUUGAAGCAUCAAGAGAUGGCAUGCUUCAAUUUCCAGGAGACCAUGCUUUUAGUACAGAUAGUGAUAGCAGGGCAUGGCAGCAAGCUUACUUGAAUGCAAUAACAAGACUGGAUGUUUCUUAUCAUUCCUUUUCCCGUGAGCAAGCUUUUCUCUUUUAUGUUGAUGUUGUCUCAUUGCACUAUUAAGCCCUUUUGGUUCUAAAGAAAAAUUGUUUAGAUAUUUUUAAAAAAAUCCUGAAAUCCAGAAUAAUAUAAUAAUUAUCGUCAAAAUAUAUAGGUUCUGAAGAUAUAUGUGGUUUAUUAUCAAGCUUGAGAUAGUUACAAAGUGAAAGUUUAGUCCCUAGAUGAAAGAUAUAUUUUCUAGAAUUGUCCCCGGGAGUUAUAUUUUUAGAUAUAGUAUUUUUGGGGGUAGAAUUUGUUUCUUUAAAGAUGAUACUUGGGCUACAAUAAGGAAAUUUUUAUCUUUCAGGUUAACUGAUGAUUCCUUAUUCUUUGCGUCUUCUACUAGGUACUGAACAAGAAUGGAAGCUUGCAGAAAGAAGCAUGGAGGCUGCCUCAAACGAAUUAUAUGCUGCAACCAAUAAUCUUCGCAUUGCUAAUCUUAAAAUGAAGUCCGCUUCAGGUCAUGCAUCUUUCUGUUAUUUAAGCUGAGCAAGUACAUAGAUAUAUACACAAGCAUUACACAUUUUCCUCAUUUGACAUUUGACAUACGCAAGUUUUUAUCUUUAUGGUUUAUGCACUAAGAUUAUCCUUGUAUACAAUAUUUUCAACAGUACCUUUUGCUCAUUGCUUGAACAUAUUGGCUGUCUUUGUAGGUGAUUUACAAAGCACUCUUCUCAGUAUGAGAGAUUGUGCAUAUGAAUCAAGUGUUGCACUCUCAGCAUUUGGUAGUGUCUCAAGGAACCACACUGCAUUGACCUCUGAGUGUGGUUCUAUGCUUGAAGAGGUAACUGAAUAUAUCUAUGAAGCUCAGGAUUUGAUUUGAGGUGAUUGUGUCGCCAGCAAUAUUUCUGGAUUUGUUGUCAGGAUGUUGUUCCUUCAAAAGGAAAUCAGCAAGUCCUAAAAGGCACCUGCAGGCUUCAAUUUCACUAAUCUCUUUUACAGAAGACGAUAAUGGUUAACAUGGGGCCAACCUGAACAUAGCUCUGUUGAUUUGAAUCAACUUUUAUCAUAUCUCUGAUUGCCAUCAAUUCAUCUAAAAUAAUCGAUAUAUUAUUCUAUGCACAAUGCAUCCAUCUUUUUUUUGUAGGCUUAAAUUUCAGUAAUCUCUUGUAUGGAAGAUGAUAACUGUGAUUAACAUGAGACCAAUCUGAACAUUACUCAAUUGGUUUAAGCAUAUACCUUCGAUUUGAGAGGUCAAUGAUUGAAUCACCCAACAAGAUGUUAAACUGAAAAAAAAUAUGGUUGUGGGAAGCAAAAUAAAAUCGUUAAAGAUUUUCUAUGCUUUAUAGAUGAUUCUAAAAUUUGCUCUCAUUGGCAUCUUUUCCUUCACCUGUUUAUAUGAUUUUUUAAUUGUUUGCACUUAAGAUUGUUUGAUCUCUUUUGAUCAAGUAUAUGACAAAGUUCUUUUUCUGUUCAAAUGCAGCUAAUAUUUCUACAUUUCCUGUAGGUACUAGCAAUAACCGAAGAUCUGCAUGAUGUUCAUAAUUUGGGAAAGGAGGCUGCUGUAAUUCAUCGUCAACUUAUUGAAGACAUUGCGAAGGUAUUUUGAUCAAUCAUUUACGUGACUAAAUCCCAGUCUAUUUAAUCUAGACAUUCGUGCUGCAGAGCAUGAUAGAGUAGUCUGCUUCCAACUGUAGUCAGCUUAUAGCAUUCCCCAUGUGAAUUGAUACUGGUUAUGGUAUUUCCCAUUCCAGUGCCAUUGUUUGCUUAUUGUUUCACUUCUUAAGCAGGCAAAUUCAGUCCUCCUUCCCCUUGAGGCAAUGUUAUCCAAGGAUGUUGCUGCCAUGAUUGAUGCUAUGGCUAGAGAAAGAGAAAUCAAGAUGGAAAUAUCACCUAUACAUGGACAAGCUAUAUAUCAGUCCUAUUGUUUGAGAAUUAGAGAGGCCUAUCAGAUGUUCAAGCCUUUGGUCCCUUCUCUGACAUUAUCUGUGAAGGGUCUGUAUUCCAUGUUUACCAAGCUUGCACGAACAGCAGGUCUCCAUGCUGGAAAUCUUCAUAAAGUAUGAAUGGAGUCUAUAGUUCAGCUCGUUGAUUUCAUGAAUUAUUUUACAAUGCUUCUGAUGUUACUGAAUUUCCACCAAAUGUGAAAUCUACUUUUUCAGGCUCUUGAAGGACUAGGAGAAAGCCAGGAAAUUAAGUCAGAGGGAAUUCACAUAACUAAGUCUCAGUUCAAUAGUGAAGUAGAUGCAGUUGACUUCGAAAAGGAGAGAGAAAGCCUCUCCUUGUCUGAUAGUGAGAGUAGCGGAGAUAUCCCUGAUAUUACCAGACUUUCUUUGCAAGAUAAAGAAUGGUUAUCUCCACCUGAUAGCUUCUGCAGCAGCAGCUCUGAGUCUGACUUCACCACUAGUAGCUUUCCAGAUAGCUCCAACGACCUAACAGAGGAUAUGGGUCAACACUAUAACGGGUCUAGUGACAGAGAAGCUAGAGUUAUUCCAAAAAUUACCUCAUUUUCUCAAACUGACGUUGGAAAAAUGUUACGUUUGGAGGAGUCAGAAACAAAAUCCACAGAUGGUAGCCAAACCUGUUUUAGAAAGUUAUCAACCAAUGAGUUCAAUGGAGGAAUUAAAAUUGUUGCAACACCACCUGAUGAAUCUAUUGAAGUUCCUGCUAUUGCGUCACAUCCGUUGAAUGAGACUGUUGAAAGACUGGAGGAGGAAAGUGGUGUAACCUCAUCAGAUAAGAGAUUAGAAGAUGAAAAUCAAGAGGCUCCUCCAGCUCAGAAGGCUGCUUGGAGUCGUGCAAGCAGGGGUAAGUAGUGUACCUUCACUCAGACACAUAUCUAUUAUCCUUAAUUCCCAAUUAGCGUUUCCACUGCUGCACUAGAUGAUAUUUAUGAUUACAUGUUUUAUUUAUUGAUCGAUGUUCUUAAUGUUUUCAUUAUUUUAAAUUAUGCAUAUGUGGAUAGGGGAAUUAGCUAUUUUAGAACGGAAAACUAUCACAAAGAAUACAACUGUAAGGAAUCUCCACAAGAGUCGCAAUAUAUUAUCACGAUCCCAAAAUUCAAAGUUCAUACCAGUUCGAGAGGGUGGAUAUCUCCUUGCUGUAUCACCAUCUAAUACAAAAGAUAACAUAACCCAAAAUACAAUGACUAAAAAUAUUAUGUUGUUUUGUUUAUCUUGUAGUGUGCUUCUAAUGCGUAUUAAAUCAGAACUACUGUUCUUUAUUGCAUAUAAAUUAGCCUCAGUUCCUUGCUUUACUUUCGGAUUCAGUAAAAUUUGCUUUUGAUUAUUGGAAAGUCAGCACAAUUUUCUUGUAUAUGAGCUUUGCAUUCAGAGGGAAAACUGAAUCGUCCCCAUUUGAUGUGGCAUUGCAUAUUUCAUUCCAAAAGUUGAAGUCUUGUGUUAUGGUCCUCUCAGGUAGAAAUGCAUACGCAACGUCUGUUUUACGGCGUGUAGAGAUGAAACUCAAUGGAAGAGACAAUGUCGAUAACAGGUACCUACUCUUAACUUGGCGCUGUUGACAAUCUCUAUGCUGGAUUUCUAACUAUCUUUUAACUAACAGAGAACUUAGCAUUGCUGAGCAAGUGGAUUAUCUACUUAAGCAAGCAACGAGUGUAGACAACCUGUGCAACAUGUAUGAAGGUUGGACCCCAUGGAUUUGAAAUUUGAAGACCGAGGAAUCUUGGAUACCUGUACUGAUGGAUGGUUAGCAGAGGUUCGUCGAGAAAUACUAGCACCAGAUUCAUUAAUCCAGAACUUGGAAGAACAUGCUGGGGUAUGUUCAAAGUUACUACCAUGCGGGACCUCUUGUUUGCUGCAUUGGUUCGCCCUACAGCUGGAUUCAUUUCAUCAUAUGAAUUAUUCAGUCACAGUGUGAAAGAAAGUAACAGCGAUUGCUCGAAAAGCUGCGCAAGAUCCAUCUUGGCAUUUCCAUUACUGAGCUGUGCACAUGAACUAUUGACGAAGUGUCCAAACAGCGUUCACGUUCUUCACGUUCCAAUAUGCUGCCCCACGCAAGGUCGAGGGCAGGUAAUAUGGGCCACGUCUGGGGCUUCAAAGUUAUAACGAAACCAAGCUUUGGUCCAUUUGGCAUCUGAGAUGUUGCUUGGGAAUAUUGCAAUGUUGAUGCUGAGGAGUUGUGGGUUUUUGGUAACGAGCUAUUUACUGCGUGGAUAAUCUGAAGAAGGUAGAACAUCACUUCCGCAGAAGAUGAGAAAUUGCAUAAUGUAAUGAAUUAUUGUAUCAUUUAGGAAAAUGAUUAUUUAGCCAUUCAAAUAGGUUAUAUACUUUAUCCAUAACUGUGAAAAUUGGAAUGUAAAUGUAGACUGUAAAUGUCAUGAUAGUUUGUCACUCUUUGUUUUGUUGGGUUUUUACUUAUGUAUGGAUGUUAUGUGAUGUUAUUGAAGGCAAGUUGAUUAAUUUGGUCAAAUAAUUACAUUUUUUUUCAUGCCAGAAGAAACACCAUUUAGUAUAUUUUCAAAGUUUAUAACAAGAUUAUGCUAAUGAAAUUACUUAUUACUUAUGCACUACACCCAUCAAUUUAUCUGACUAUUUAUUUUUUUCAAAAAAGUUUUUAAAAUUCUUUUUUAAGUGAACAAUAUAUAAAUAGGUACAAUCCAACUUACAAUGUCCACGUCACCAACAAGGAUAGACUUGAAGUGAAGUAAUGAAUCCACAAGCAAAUGGUUUAGUCUCUUCCUAUGGGAAGUGAAGAAUCUCCCUUUUCCCAUAGAAUAGAAUUAAAAAUCCCUUUUCCCAUAGAAUAGAAUUAAAAAUCCCUUUUCCCAUAGAAUAGAAUUAGACAAACAAAUUAAAUGAAACUCAAAACUCAAAACUCAAAACCAACCAAUUCUAACAGUUUGUUAAGCACACAGAUAUAAAUCCAGUUUUUUGAAGCUUACUCUUUAAGUGAUCUUAUUUAUAUUGAAACUCUCAUGUUCCUCUAUUUUCCAUCAUCGCAAAUAUAUUUUCCUCUACUUCUUACUCUAGAUUCUAUUACUCCUCGUCAUGUCGGGGCUCGUAGACCUAUGGACUUCUGAGCAGGCUAAACUCCGCCACGAGGGUGGCUCCUCCCCCGCCGCUCCCACCGUUGAUGUGGCUGAACAAGGAAGAUGGAACUCCACUGAGUUAACUCGAGUUUGGGACCGAGUAAGACGACUCGGUAUGAAUGGGAAGAUGUGUUCUGAAGCUUCUGUUUGUAUGUUGGUUGAAUUUAUGAGUCCAUAGAGAUUCAAAACAUCUCACUGUACAUAAAACACUUUCAAUAAAACUUUCCUUUUUCAAUAUCUAUAAUUUGCCUUUAGUUACUUGGGUUAGAGAAUACGAGUAUUAUAUAUCAAUUCAAUUAUGUUCCUUUUGGCUUGAAAUACUAUUUUUAAUAUAACUAUGCGGUGGGGUGGGAAUUGAACUUUCGACCUUACCUUCAAUUUCAAGAAGGUUUGAAUCAAGAUUUGCCAUUUCUUCAACUUUCACUUUCACUACUAUCAUCCCAUGUAGCCUUCAUUGUCUUCUUCUUGGAUUUCUUAGAUGAUUUGAGGAGAGGACAAUCCGUUCUUAUAUGACCCAAUCUUUUGCAUUCAUAACAAAUCACCUCAUCUUUUUUGCUUUUCUCACCUUUUGACUCUUUUUAGAUUGAUAGGUGUUUCUUGAAAUAUUUCUUUCUUUUUAUGAAACUUUUGUAUUUACGUGAGAAAUAAGCAAUGUCAUCUUCAUCAAGGCCAUCCUCAUCUUCGGGAUCAACUUUCAAGGAGAUAGUCUUUAAUGCAAUGGUCUUUUUCUUUUUUGACUCAUCCUCCAAGUGUUCAUUCAUGAUGAUCUCAUGAGUCAUGAGUGAGCCAAUAAGCUCCUCUAGUGGAAGUUUGGUGAGAUCCUUUGCUUCUUGAAUUGCCGUUACCUUAGCUUCCCAAGUCUUAGGUAGAGACCUUAGAAUUUUUCUAACAUUUUCAGAAGUUGUAUAAACUUUACCAAGACCCUUCAAAGCAUUUAUGAUGUUAGUAAAUCUAGUAAACAUAUCGGUGAUAGUCUCAUUAGCAUCCAUCUUAAACAAUUCAUAAUUAUGAACAAACAUGCUAAUUUUAGACUCUUUAACUUGAUUUGUUCCUUCAUGAGUAAUUUCAAGAGUAUUCCAAAUUUCUUGAGCGGAAGAACACAUGGAUAUUCUAUUAAAUUCAUCUUUACUCAAGGCACAAUACAAACAAUUAAUAGCCUUAGCAUUUAAAGAACACUUUUUCAUUUCAUUUUCAUCAUACUCUUCUUCUAAUUUAGGCGUAUCAACAUUAUCAACAUUUUUCAUGGGUACAUAAAGACCUUUAGCAACAAUUAACCACAAAUUAUAGUCAAUAGAUUGCAAAUAAAUUUUCAUUCUUGCUUUCCAAUAUGCAUAAUUUGAAUCAUCAAAAUAAGAAGGUCUAGAAAUAGAUUGACUUUCAACAAUCCCAUUUGCCAAUAGGUUUGCUAUAAUGCUCUAACAAGAAAGUUUAUCAAGAAAUUAAAAUUUCAAGAUGAGCAACCUUACUCUGAUACCAAUUGUUGGAUCGGUAUGGCAGCCCUAGAGGGGUGAAUAGGGUUUAAAUAAACUUUUUGACAAAUAAAAAGUAAAAUCAACUAAUUAGAUAUUUUUUUAAUUUAAAUGAUUGAAAAACUUUGUAAACUUUGUUAAAUAAUCAAGAUUGAUAAAAAGAUAUGAAUGGAAGUAUACAAUCAAACUCAACCAAUAAGAAUAUGUAACUAAAAUUAAAUUAAAAAAUAAUUAGAAAAGAGUUAGAGAAGAAGACACCGUAAUUUUAUAGUGGUUCGGUUAAACUCAACCUACAUCCACUUUCCCAAGCACCUCUUGGGAUUUUGAUUGAAAAUCUUCUUUGGACUCUUUCCACGGAUUUGAGCCGAACCGAUUCUUGCUCCUUUUUCGGGUUCAAGAGCAAACCCGAUCCUUUCCACGGGUUAGGAUCCAACCGUUACAAUAUGUUGAAAUUUUUAAAUCACACAAAAGAAAACUCUCUAAAAGAGUGAGUAUACAAUUUGAAGCUCACAAAUUUAAUCCUCACAAUACAAUAAGAAGCUCUCAAGAAUAAGAUGAAAAGAAUAAAAAUUGGAAGCUUUAGGGAGAAUAACAAUGUUGGUUUUUUGCACUUUUUCAGGAUUGUAAAGAUUUAAUGAUCUUGUGUCUUUUUAAAAUUUGGGAAAAGUGAAGUAUUUAAAAAGAGAGAAAAGAUAAAUUCAAAAUCAUUUUGGGUCAUUAGAUAUAAGUAAAAGAAAAAUAAAUGAUUGAGAUUUAAACUCAAUUAGCCGUUAGACACAAUACAAAUAAUAAUAUAAUAAUAUGGCUUUUCAAAAUACUUUGUUUAAAAAAAAACCAAUAAAGCAACUUCACCAUUUUUUUUAAAAAAAAACUAGCCGUUAGACAAGGAAAAAUAAUAAUAUUAAAGUCAUUUUCUUUAUAAAAGCCAGUAAAACAUAACCAAAAGCCACAUUUGUUACUCCUUCAUUGCUCCAAGUGGCUUUCUCUAAUUGGUUCAAAUUGAAUGCUUGGUCGCCACGUCACCAUCUCGGGUAUUUUUUCGUUAAGCUUCUUUUAGCAAUAUUUUCUUCAUUUGAACUUCGAUUUGGGUGAUUCAAGAGGCGUUAGAAUCAUUUUUCCAAGCUCUACGAUAUGGUCUAUUCAAAUUAAUAAAAUUGUCAAUAAAAAAAAUCAGAUUUGUUAUCAUCAAAACAUAAAUUAAUUGAAUAAUUAAAAUAAAUUAAUUUGAGAUUAAGGGCCAAAAAGCCAACAAUCAACUCAAGUGAGAUCUUUAAAUAAGAACCGAGAUAACAUACUAAAAUACCUAAAAGGAAACGAUUGCUAGCCUACUCAAUAUGCAAAUGACAAUAAAAACAUAAUUUGUAAACAACAGUAAGCAAUAUUCACCUUAUUUUUCAUGAUGGCUUCCAAAGAUAUGAAAUGUGAAAGGAAAGAAGAGAAAACUCAAACAAUUGUAGAAAGUUUCUUGGGAGUUGGUGGUGAAACUUCUUGAGAUAACCAUUUCAUUUUUCAAUAUAACAAUUAUAUUUUCGGUUAUGAGAGCAUUUUCGUCACAACUGAAAAAUUAAAUCUGGGAUGCAUGUUACUAUAUUCACAAAAACUCGAGCAAAUCUCCAACAUACAAAUUAUAUUAUAUCUUGGGAUCGAUUAUGGUCGAGAUUUUUCGAAAAAAACAAAAAUGUAAUUUUUUUUAAACUAUGCUACUUUUGAAAUGUAAAACCUAAGCUGUGUUGUUUUUGUCAAUUUGUCAUUUUUUUUCUUACAAAAUUUCAUGUAAUGUUUCAUGAAACAAAAGGCAAAGCAAAAACAUAUCUAAAAUCAAAUCACAAACUCAUUUAUAAAUUUAUACAUAAUUUAUUGAGAAGCACAUGUUUUGAUUUAAUUUAAGAACAUGCGUUGAUUUUCUUUCUAGUAGGAUAAAAAAAAGUUCCAAAGAAGUUUAAAAAGUCUAACUUAAACGGACCAUAAAUCUACCUGUGAUUUUGUUUUUGGAUAAUUAAGGAUUUGUAGAAUUUUUUUAAGAAUAAUAAUUAAGUGUAGAGCAACAUUUUCAAAAUAUUGUAAAUUUAGCAAACUCAAAAUGGUUAUCGAGUGAUGGAUAUAUUAUAUUUCUAAUAGAUUAUUUUGACAGAUUUAACUAUAUUUGUAAUGUUUUAAGAUGUUGUUAUUUAUCCUAACAUUUUGAAUCUAAUUAUUAUGGUUUCAACUAUCAUAUGUGUUACUUUUUAGUAGUAUAAAUUUGGGUAAAGAAAUUUGAACGAGGUACGAAUCUUUAAGUUUUAGCUGUGAUGAAAUUUAUACAUAUACCAUCCAAAUUUGAUCUUUUUAAAUGAUAUUUUUUUUGAGUUGACUCAAUUUUAGUAUCAAUAUACUUUUAUAAUUCAAUUAUAGUCCUCCUACUUUCAAUAAAUUUUAAAUUUCACUACUAUGUAAAGAAAUUUACAUGAAAUUUAAAUAAAUGUCAUGACCAUUUUUACAUGAAUAAUUAAACAAUUGACUUUCAUGCAAACAAAUAUAGUAUGUGAAAUAUAUUUUCAAAAUUUAUAUAUAGUAAAAGGUUUUUAAAAAUGAACAAUAAAACUAGCUUUAUCGUUGGCUAAAUUUAUGAUUUAUUGAAAGUGUGCGUGGAUAAAAGUUAGAUAAUUGAAAAUGUAAGAACUAAAAUAUAACAAUUUUGAAGAUAUAGGGACGAAAAUGAAUUUUAACCGUCAUCAUUAAUAUAAAUUAAAAUGAUUAAUAAUAAUUUUAGUUAACAAUGUUCUACAUUAUAUAUUCCAAUUCGGAGUAUGAUUGUGUCAUUACUACUAUUCAUUACAAUAUUAUUGUACCAAAGGAUUAAAAUACUGAUAUGUCAUUGUUGAUAUCGAGAUUUCAAUUUUAUGAAUAUAUUAAUAAAAUAUCAAUAUCGACACAUAUUAAUUUCUAAAAGUUACAAAUUUUUUAAAUUUAUUUAGAUUAUUAAUUUUAUUUUUAACCCAAAACUAAGUUAUAUCCAUACAGUUAUUAGUAUAUUAAAUUUAUAUUAGAAAUAUUAGAUGUAUAUAUUGUCUUUUACGAGCAUUUAUUAAAGAUGUUGGAUAUAUCCAUAGAUAUUUAAUAUAAUUCAUAUCUAACUCAUUGACUUACAAAUCCAUCCACAAAUAUAUCGCAUAUGCAUGGAUAUAUUUUAAUCCUUCGUUAUACCUUCCUAAACAAAACAAAUGCAUAACACAUCUUUCUUCCAACAAUGAAAAAUUUCUUCCAGGUAAUAAUCAAUGUUAUCAAGGACAAAAGGUACAAAAGAUGAAUAAAUAAACACAAAUAUAUUUUUGUUUAAAAGUUUCAAAUUAAGAUUAUACAAUGUUAUUGAAAUACUAUUUGUAUUCCUUUUUUCGAUCAAAUGUAACAACAACAAUCUUUUUCAUUCGAAGAGCCAUCUAACUUGGGAUAGCAAAACCCACCAUUUUUUGUCUGUUUGAGACAAUCAUUAUUACACGAAACAUUAUCGUCUGGGUUUGAGCAGGGUUUUAUACAACUCAUGAAUAUAUCUCCUUUUGCUGCCAUAUGAUAAAAUACCAAUAUUGUUAAUAAUAUAUUUUUCAAUUGAAAGAACAUAACAUUAUGAAACUAUUAGAAGGAUUAUGAGAGAAAAACAUACUUGAUAAGACAAAACAUGUGAAUAUCAUCAAGAUAACGAUGAACACCGUAAAAUUUUUCUGAUUUGCCAUGUCCUUUAGAUGUUAUUAACGUGUUUAAAAAAGUUCGAGGAGAACUAAUUUAUAGUAUCUUAGCAACAAUAACUAAAAAACGGUACGGUGCUAAAUAUGUCGUUAAAAACUCAAAUUGAUUUUGUUAAUUUAGUUUAUAAAAACUAAAGUCUAUAUGGAAUUUUUAGAAAAAUAGAAAGAGAUUGGUAAUUGAGACUAUUUUUAGAAAAAAACUGAAAUGAUAAAUUACACAUGAAUUGAUCCUAAAAGUCAUCUGAAGAAAAAUAGGGUUAGCAAUGUGAGGGGGAAUGGUAAAAAAAAAGAAAAGAAAAAGAAAAAACCAAAUCGAUCAAUUACAACCCACUAAAGAUCCAUAGCAAGCCAUCAAACUAAACUACGAAUGUGAUUGAUAACUCCCUCAUAAGUGAGUUAUUAAGUCCCAAAAGGCUUGACUAUCAAGUAUAAAACAUGUGCAUGUCUUGUUAUAUUUGAUCACUUUAUGACUAAUUUUAUGCAAAAAACCAAGCUACUCAUGCAUGUCUUUUUGAGCCUUGAUUAGCAAAUUAGUAACGUAAAUUAUGUACAAAAAGAGUCCAAUCUUUAGUAAUUCUUGAGUUUAUAUAUCAUUUGAAAUUGUUGCUGUAAUUUUUAACAAAUAGAAAGUUCCAAGAUUUUUGAGAUACGUUCAUUCUUUUCAAAUUCAAUAAAAUCAUAUAAAAAAAUUUGCAUUUGAAUAAUUUGAAUAUAUUCAAGCUAAAUCGUGUAGGAAAAAGUUGCAAGGUGUUCUAGAGAAACAUUAUUUUCUUGAAAAUCUUUAAAAGACGUCGUUUCUGCUUUCCAAUGCAUCACUGAACAUCAAACUCAUGCUAUCUAGAAACUCUAGCUACCGUUUUACAUGUUACAUCAUUCACAGUUAAUAACCAUACCCUAAUAUAAUGGCCGUUGUUGUUUUUGAUUCUUUUCAUCCUUUUCAAUUUUCUUUUGGGUGCUUUCUUUACAAGAACAAGCAUAAGUACUAGCCAUUAUUCAUCUUGAAAGAGAGCUUAGGAAGAUCAAUAGGCAAGUUGAGAAUUUAUCUUGUACUUUUACAUCUCACAUAUUUCAUACAUUCGUUUUCAUCCAUUUAUAAUAUGACUUCUUCUCUUCUUUGCUUCUUGAGUUCCUUAUUUUUCAUUAUGAGCUAAACAUCAUUUUAGGAUUAAGGAUAUACUAAGAAUGUAAUAAAUCCUCCACACGUGUCCUAUUUAAUUACCUUGCUCAACAUUUAUUUUACCUUCGAUUUUAUUGAUUUUAUGCAUUUUUUGAAUUUUGAUUAUCACAUAAGUUGGCAUAUAAUGUUGAGUCUUGUAUCAAAAUAGUUAGAUAAUAAAAUGAAUUAAGAAAAAUAAUAUAGGACAAACAGCUAGAGCCCUAGAAAUAGGGUAUAAUGCCUAUAUGAUCAAUAUUGAAUUGGAGUUAACCAUAUCUUAAGUUGUAGUUAGUCAUAGAAAUAGGUGUUUCAUUGCAUAGUCCUCUAAAUGUUCUUCUUUAUGGGAGUUGGCUCCAUUUGAUUUGGUUAAGUGUCUACGUUGUGUGCACAAUCUCUGAUCGCAUAUAGUUUAACUCCGUUUGUUUUUUUGGGGUCGAUUCUGGCUGAGAUUGCCUGAGAAAAACAAAAAUGCAAGUUUUUUUUUUAAAGUGCGCCACUUUUAAAAUAUAAAACUUAAACUGUGUCGUUUUUGUCAUUUAUUUCUUUUUUUACAUAUUUUGUCAUUUAUUUUCUUUCCAUGAAACAAAUGGAGCAUAAAUAUAUACAAAAUUAAAUCACAAAUUCAUUUAUAAAUUUAUACGUGAUUUAUUGAGAAGCACACAUUUUGAUUUAAUUUAAGACAUGGGUUGAUUAUCUUUCUAGUUGAAUAAAAAAAGUUUCAAAUAAGUUUAAAAUGUCUUUUAACUUAAAUGUACCAUAAAUCUACGUAAUUUUACUUUUGGAUGAUUAAUGAGAGGUAGCAAUUUUAGAAACAAUAAUAAAGUAUAGAUUACUAAAAUUUCAAAAUAUAAUAGAACACUAAAAUUUCAAAAUAUAAUGUUGUAAAUAUAGCAUCUCAAUAUGGUCAUCUAGUGAUGGAUAUAUUAUAUUUUCUAAUAUAUUAUUUUGGUAGAUUUUGACAUAUUUAACUAUAUUUACGACGUUUUAAAAAUGUUGUUAUAUAUGCUAAUAUUUUGAAUCUAAUUGAUAAAAAUGUUAAUAUAUACUUAAUUAUUAUUCAUAAAAUUGGUAUCCAUUAUUAUUACAUAAAAAAAUGUCAAAAAUAACAAAUUUAACAAAACAUAGCAAAAAAUUUCAGACUUUAUCACAUUGAUAGCAAUUGAUAAGUUUCUAUCAGUAACAUUGUAGAAAUCUAUCGGUAAUAGAUUUCAAAAUUUUGUUAUAACUUGUAAAUAUUUUAAUUUAUUUUACUAUUUUUAAAAAUGUAUUAAAAAAAUAUUGUCUAAUAAUUACUUUUUUGUUUCGUGGAGUUUGAAACAUACCGACAUAUUUAUUUCAUCAAUAAUAAUAAUAGGAAAAAUAUCCCAUAUCAAUAUCUUAUUGAUAAAUUAUAUUAAUCAAGUUAGAGCUCUUUAAAACUAUAAAAAUUUAAUUAAAAUUAUGUUCAAAUGUAGAUUUUGUUACUUUGAUCCUUUUGUACUUAGGAUCAACAUUUUGAAAUGGAUUGUACUGAAGAUGGGAUGAUGAAACAAUCUAUAUCAUUAUUACAAAGAGGCAAAUGGCUAAAGUAGGGUCACUUUUGAAUGUUCAAUUUAGACACUGACUUGGUGUUGGGGAAGGAUGAAAACAUUAGCAGACAUGUGGAUAUACUUGAUGAUAUAUCUAUAAAUUAAAAUAUAAUGUUUGAUAGUGAUAUUAAAAUAUUCACGGAUAUCUCCCACAUCUUCUAUCAAUAAUAAUGCUUCUAAAAUAUAAAAAAUACCAUUCUAAUGGUCUAGAAAUGUGAAUAAGAAAUAUACUAAUAACAAUAUCCAUAACUUAGUAAAAACAACUUAAUUAUUAGUCUACUUAUAAAAUCCAUUAAUAUAAGAAAAAGAAAAUUGAAAUCUUGAUAAUAAUAAUAUCGACAUCAAUAUUUUAAUUCUUUGUAGGUCAAUACCAUAUUGGUUAGAAAAGAGACUUUAUGAUUAUGGUCGAGUAUAUUUUAAUUGGUAUGAGAACUUUUGGAUGGUUCUAAAAGUAAUAUCACAAAAAUGUUUAUAUCCAUAAACAAUAUCAUAUCAUUGUAGAGAUAGAUGAAAUGUUUUAUUGUCUACUGUGAUUUGUCCUCGAUCAUAAAGUUUUAUAAGUAAAUUGGAUAAGACUCGACUUUUCCUUUGUUUUUGUUUUGUGUUUCUAUUCAUUAUUGUGUUAUUUGUUUUCUAUCUACCAAAAAAGGGGACUCCUUUUAGUUUGAAAAAGUGCAAGGGUGAGAUUGAAAUGAUCCCUCGAAGUAUUUUAUAGUGAUAUUUUAUUUAUCGUAUUAUAGUCCAAUCAUAUCACAAAAUAUAUAUAUAUAUAUAUAUAUGAAAAUAUUCCAAUAAUAUCACUUAUAUCACCAAUAUGUUAACCCUAUGUCAUUAAUAUUCAUUAUUAAACUUUUGUUUCCUUAGACCAAUAGUUGUGAUGGUUUCUACGUACCUACUUUUUGUUAUGUAUAGAAGAUAUAUAUUAGCUCUAUGUAUGGAAGACGUGAGGGAUAAAAGGUAAAUCAUUAAUAAUCAGACAACACCCUAAGUUUAGGAUUCUUCUUCUUUAGAUUUAGUCACGAUUCAUCCAUGUUCCACUCUUAGUUAAACAUAGAGCUUUAUUGUUGAUGAAAAUUUUCUAAAAUGAGUUUUUCUAAAUAUGUACAACAUUUAAACAAAUCAGUUCUAUUUUAAUAAUUAAAAUCGUUGGGGCGUUGAGCUCUAAUUAGGCAUUGGUUGAUGCGUCACUUAAGUGAGGUCUUGUGAUAGGACAACAUUUGAUGCAUUCCUUAAGUGAGGCAUUGUGAUAGGACGACCAUUGAUGCAUCACUUAAGUGAGGCGUUGGGAUCAACUAAUGAUCGUUGAAAACCUUACACAUUGGAAAGACUUGAUGUGUUCUUAAUUGAACGUUGAGGUCAACUAUAAAUGAUUGAGGCCAACUAUAUAUAAAUUAUUGAGGCAUUAUACAAUAAACUCAUGAUUGUUUGAACUCAAUCUCUAAACAAAGAGCUUCUCUUUCUCACAAUUUCUCUCAAUCUUCUCCCUCUCUAUUCUUGGUUUUUGAUUAAAAAAAAAGUGUUUUGGCUAGUGUAGCUACAAUCGAAAUUUUGACGCUCUAAGCAGUGCCGCGAAACAUCUUAAAAUUGUUUAAUCUUGAGAACUUUUGCUUGUUUGUUCUUGAACCACAUUUUAUUGGAAGAAGUUUCACAUUAUUAUACCAUAUGUAACAUCUUAGACUCAUUAUUCGAAAUUCAAAUUUGACACAUAAAAUUGCCUUGACAUCGACUCAAUACCAUCUAAAUAAAAUAAUUCAAAAUUUUGCAACAUUUCCAUUGCUAUACAACCUCAAGUGGUGCAAUAUAAUUAAGAUGGAGACAAUGGUAGUGAGAGAGGGAAAGUCGAGGAGUUUGGCCAUUUUUGAAGGUUAAUUUGUUUGAUUACUAUAAGGUCUUCGGGCGGCCAAUACUUUGUAUAAUAAUGCCAUUCUUAUGUGUCCUUUUUCAACUUAUAUGAGACAAUUUUUUUCUUUUUUUUGAAUAAUUCAACCAAAUAUUGAAUUUGUAACACAGUUUCUAGGAUCUUGACGAUGAAAUUGAUAUCACAUGUUAAAUCUUUCAUCUCUUUUAUCUCUAUCUCUAUCUCUACUAUAUUCAAAGUGUAAGUUGGGAGAAUUUUUACAUUUCCAUAUUUACUGAUUCUCAUUUCGGGAUUAAAGAACACCAAUGGAAUCAAAAUUUGAGUGAAGAACAACUUUAAUUUUAUCUUCCAUCAUUCGCUUACUUGUGAUUUUCUCUACUAAACUCUUGCACAGGAUUUUUAAAAGAAGAAAGCAUAAUGCAAAAACUGCUACUGUGAAACAUUUCAUUUAUAAAAAGUUGGCAUCCUUUCCAUAAAGAAUUAAUAGUGGUACGAAUGAAAGGGGUGAAUAAGAAAACCAAUUACACAUAUUUAUGUGAAAAGGUGGGCGUUAUAACACAUCUUUGAAAGAGUGGAGAGUAAAAUAAGUAACUUUUUUUUAUAAAAAAAGUGAGGGUAAAAAAAUUCUCACAUUUAGUUAACUAAUACGAUAUGAACUAAUCGAGUUCACAUAUAAGUGCGAUUCUACAUCUUUUUUGUUUUACUACAAAGAUAGCAAAAUUAAUUGUAAUCACCUUCUUCUAAGAAAGAUUUUGUCUAUGAUUAUGUUGGUAUUAACAUCUAUGAUUAUGUACUACAUAUAUAUGAAAUAAAUUUUUAUACUUAUGCAAUUAAACAUCCAUUUGUUAAAACAAAAACAUUAAAACCUUGAAUUAUUAGGAGUUAUUAUGUUAGCUGACCAUUUAAUUAUUUAAAUAUAAAAACAAUCUAUUUAUUUUAAUAAACCACAUUUUAAGUGGACUAAAAUAUGAUACUAAAACAAACAUUUUAAAAAAUUAUUAUUUUAGAUAUUUAAAUUCUACACAUACACACAACACACAUUAACUAAUUAAUUUUCAAAACUAAAGCUAUUAUUUUAGAUAUUUACAAAUAUAAUAUCUAAAAUCAACUCAAAAACAUCCAAAUUUAGAAGAUAUUUAAAACUCAAAUUCCAGAAAAGCUCUAACCCUUUUUCUUUUUCUUUUUCUUUUUCUUUUGGGAGAAUAUAAACAUAAAUAAUAUCAAGCAAAAAAGUCCAAAUCCUAUAUCAAUAUCAAAUCAAAAGAAAAUUUUGUUAAAGAAAGAAAGAAAGAAAGAAAGGCUGAAUUAUUCAUUUAAUCAGGAUCUCAUAAUUGAAAUAUUUGAUUUAAAGUAUUUUAAUGUGAUGAGGAUCCCACCACACAACCACAUCACCAUCCUUAUCAUCUUCUCUAUCUUUUCUUCAAAUUUCCAAACAAUAAUGCAAAAUUGAAGUCCCCACACGCAACCUCCCUUUCCCAUCACACAUCUCCUCUUUCUUUCUUUCUUUUCCCCUUUCUCUUCCCAUACAAACAUUAUUCUGUGUGCUCUGAAUUAUCUAGUCUUUUCUCUCUAUUGAAUCUGAAAUUAUUAACUAAUCACGGUUAAAGUUAUUUCUUAAUCAAAAUCAUCACUAAUUUAAAGUUACAAACACAUGAGUUGAUAGAUUUCGAAUCUCACAUGUUUUCACUCUAACCAUUUAAUCAAAUAAAAUAUUUUGGUAGUUGAGUUUAAAGAUAUAUUUAAUUUGGUCCAAAGACAAACUAAACCCUACCAAAUUUAAGACUCCCGAGCUUUAGAAGUCUUCCAAUAAUUAGAAUACUCUAUAACUUAUGAAGUUGAAAACUUCUUAAAGAUACCAAGUUUUUUGAAGAUAUAAAUACUAUUCCAAAGCUUGAUUGUGAAAAACUUUUUUACGUUAUUCAUUUUUUCAAAUCAAGUAUGUACUUUAAUCAAAAGAUAAAAUACUAAAAAUUAAAUAUUAAAUAAGUUCAACUCCAAAAAAAACAUCUUUUCUUUCACAAACAUCAUUCAAAUUAUAAUUAAUAUUUUUUUCAAAUCAUAAUUAAUAUUUUUUUCUAAUUAAUAAUUAUUAAAAAUUAUUGUGAGUUUGAAAAUAGUUUAACUAGUUAAUUAGUUUAGUUACAUAUAUGUUUGAUUGUGGUUAAAUUUGGAAUUUAGACUCAUUGAUAAGUAUUAAGCUAAGAAGUAUGUUUUCUAGUCUUGUGUUUUGGGUUGUUCACCAUCACAUAUAUUAUAUACACAUAUAUUUUUUUUUUUAAAAAAAAAAGAAACUUUUUGCCUUUUGAAAAAGUAACCAUAUAAUUUUUUUAAUGGUAGACAACAAAGUUGGAAAGUACAUUUAUAUAUAUAUACAUAAUGGUUUUUUAGGAAUAAUAAUAUGUUUUAGUUAAAAAGAAAAAAAGAAAAAAAAAAUCUAUGUCCAUUGUGUAGAAUAUUCGUAAACCAAAUUCCAUGUGCCAACUCACCCUCAAAUUCCAUCCACCUUCCCUAUAUAAAUCUUCUCCGCACCCUUUCUCAAAAUUCCAUUUUACACAAAGAAAAAAGAAUAACAAAGUAAAAAUGUCGGCAAUGGUAGAGUCAUGGAUGAACGAACUGGGAAAAUGGAGAAACAGAGUUGAAGCUCAAGACAACAACAACAAGAAGCCAUUGAUGCCCAAAUCCAAGCAACUCCAAACAGAUCACUUCAAACAACCCGCCAAAACCCAUAUGGCGGAUUCCGACGACACAGAAACCUCCGUCCUCUCUGAAUCCACCAUUUGUUUGCUCAUAGAUCGCUUUGCUCCUUUAUGAUUAUGCUUUCUUUCAAUAAUUCCUCUUCCUCUCUUUUAAGUUUUACUCUGUAUAUUGCUGAAUAUAUAUCUAAUAUAAUUGUAAAGGAAAUAGUAAUCUAGUUUUGUCCACUGCCACCUUGUACGCCUGCCGGCCCAUACUGCUUGUGAUGCUCUGUUUCUACAAUUCCUCUUUCCUAUGUUUUCCUUUGUAAUUCUAUGUUGAAUAUAUCUUAGGGUAUGAUCUGUAUUUUUCUCACCGCCGUUGCCAGAUUGGAGAGAUGAGGAGUCCGGUGGGUGGUAGCGGCGGUGGUGGUGGUGGCCGGUUUGGAGACUUUAUGGCUUUCUCCUUUUCAAUUAUGCCUUGCAGAAUUUCUGUAUAUAUUUCUUUAAUCAUUUUUUUCUAAUUAAUAAGAUUUUGCUCUUCCUUUUUGUUGUUUGAAGUAUUAAUAUAAUAAAAUUUACCAUAAUUGAAGUUAUCAAAUUUAAUUUUUAAAUUAUGGCAUAUUAGUGUAAAUCCAUUUUUAUAGUUGUAAUUAAUGAGUGUAAUUUGAAUGUAGAAUAAGAAAAAGAAGAGCAAGAUCCAUUUUGUCAAGUUAUUAAUUCUUUUCUUUAUCUUAUCUUUUCGUGAUUUCUCCGUCUCGACUUCUAGAAUUUCUUUCUUUUUUCAUUUCUUAAAAUUCUCAUCGAAUCGAUUCAAUAAUGUUUGACAUUUCUCAUAUAUUUUCUCUUUCAGAUUUAAAUGAUCGUAUACCAACUUUUAAAUGAUAUUGGUUCAAGAUCGUAUACAAAAUAUAAAAGAUCUUGGCACAUAAUUGUAAAUCAAUAUCGUUUAGAUUUUAUACACGAUCGUUUAGCUCUUGGUACUUGAUUGUAUAUCAAUAUCUAAACGAUCUCGUUUCACGAUCGUUUAGAAGAAGAAUUUCACACGUGGGUAUUACUUAUUAAUCGCAUGUUGGUUGGAUAAUUUGGUAUUUUCCUUUGCAGAUUUUUUCCGUUUUUCAAAAGUAUUUUAUACCGUGUAAGUAUAUUGCUCGCUUAUUAUAUUUUUGAAAACCUUCCAGAUUAAUUUACUGUUAUCAAACACAAACACGGUCUAAAAAAGUUAAAUUUUUUAAGUUUGUGUUUAUAACUUAUUUGUAUUUUGUAUUUAGCAUUUCUACAUCUAAAUUUAGGAAGAUAUUAAUGACAUCUCUCCAGUCUAAUUUAGUUUUUCUAUCUCAUAAUUAAUUUAAACUCAUUUCAUACAUCACUAAAACCGCAUGCAUAACCAAAUACUAUUUCUAAUUCUACUAUUUGCAUGACGACAUGCCUCGUCAACCUACGUUUAAUCAAUUCAAAAAAAUUUAAAACUAGUAUCAAUUACCAAUUUUUUUCUAUUUUUAUUUAAAAAAUUUGUUCUCUAGUAGAUAUAUUAGUUUUCAAAAACUACUUAACAAAAUAAUUUUGGAUUUUAAUAGCAUGUUUAACACCCUCGUUUUUUAGCCAUUGUUUCAAAAACACUAUAAAUACGUUCUCAUCAAACAUUUUUAGACUCACCUUUCUCAACCGCGUUAAUCGCUUAGAAGCAAAACUAGUGACAUCUAACAAGCAUGGAAAAUCAAAAACCUUUUACAGUCUCCAUUGUUGUGAUGGUGAUAUUCGCAUGUUUUGUUUUAUCAAGUAUGCUCUUAUUAUCUCAUAACCCCUUCUUAUCUCAUAAUGGUAUGUUCUUUUGCGUGAAAAAAAAAAAUAUUAACAAUUAAUAUUGAUGUUUUAUCACAUGUGGCAGCAAAAGGAGACAUGUUGUUGAAUUGUAUCGGGCCUUGUUCAAACCCAGAUGAUAAUGUUUCGUGUAACAACGAUUGUCUCAAACAAACUUAAAAACAGUGGAUUUUGCUAUCCCAAGUUAGAUGGUUCUUCAAACGAAAAAGAUUGUUGUUGCUAUAUCUGAUGAUGAAACCCAAAAAAAAAAAAAAGUUGUAUAACCUUGAUUUGAAAUGGUUAAACAAAGUCAUAUUGAUAGAAAUUCAUGUUUAUUUAUUCAUCUUUCGUACUCUUUUGUCCUUAUAAACAUUAAUUAUUUUACCUCUUUGAGAUAGUUGCAAAUGUUGCAAUUAAAAUUAAAUAUUAGCAUACAUAACAACAUUUUAAAAAAAUUUGCGAAUGUAACAAAAUUUGUCAAAGUCUAAAAGCGAUAGAAUAAAUUUAUCACCGAUAGAUUUUGCUAUAUUUGCAAGUUUUUUAAAAAUGUCUCUAAAUGCUUAAUUGUUAUUGCUAAAAUUACUACCUAUUAUAAUUACCCAAUAAAUUUUUAUUCAUUAUUGUUUAAAGAAAGAUGUUAUGCAUUUGUUUGAGAAUGUGCAAUAAUGUUGUUAUGAAUAAUACUAACGGUCGUGCAACGAUAUUUGUAAUAAGAUGUAGAACAUCGUUUUUGAAAUAAUAAUUGAGCGAUCUUUUAUGCUAAUAUAAUAAAAUGAUGUCAAUAAAAUAUUGCAUUAUUACUAAAGACAUGUGAGCAAAGUAGCACAAUUUUUAAAAACAAAACCCAUUCAAAAUCAAAUGGCUAUCCAACAAUGCAUUAAUACCCUAAAUUUAAAAUUUUCGAACAUUACUAAAGUGAAUAUAAGUUAAUUCUUUAGCUCUACACUAUACUCUAUAAGAAGAUCAAGAAUUUACAAGCACUUGAAUUGUGCUACACUAUUUUAUUCUAUAGGAAAUAACCAAUGAAAUAUAAAAUGCAUUUUUCAAAUAUUUGAUUAGCUAUGUGAAGCUGCUUGCAUCAACACUAGUACAUGAAAUUUCAGUAAUGCUGAUGUUAGGUUUGUCAACUUGCCAUUUGAUUAUUUCCCUUGCAUAUCUCAAAGCAGCAUUCACAUUUUCGGGCUCCAUCCCUGUUGUUUGUGAAACAAACAACUUUUUAUCUGUCAAAGAACAAAACAGUCUCUUGAAUUUCACUGCUAUGUACUGAAACGCUCGUUGUGCCAAUGUCGGGUUCGUGCUGCUGCUACUUCUUCCAGUGAUCAUUGGAUUGAAGUCAACAAACCACUCACAUUGAGCAAGAGGAGCGUGGAUGAUCUUUUCUUCGAAGAGAUCAAACUUGUUCAGUAUGAGAAGGAAGUUCUUUCCUCUUGAGGCUUGAUGUGUCACAAUGCUUUCAAACAGUUGCUUGCUUGCGAUCAUUCGGUUCGUUAGAACUCCGUUAUCAUCCUCGUCAAAUUCAUCGUAGUCUGUUAAAUCCACACAAAAUAAAAUUAUUUUUGUGUCGUCAAACAUCUCCAACAAUUUGCAGUUUUCUCCUAGGGUACUGGAAUGGACUCGAAUCAGCUGGUACCUAAAAGAGGAAGGAAUCGGGUUUUUUUAGCUGAUGAUAACUUUAUGCGACUGUAUGCAAAAAUCUAUGCAAAAAGCAACCUUAUUGACAGAUCGUGCUGAUAAGGAGGGUCGAGAAGGGAGUCUUGUCGUGACUCAGGGAACGUGAACUCCAUGCUACUGAGGCUGUUGCACGAGGUGAUUCCCUCAGCGUACAAGAUAUCAUUGUCAGAAGGGUCAUACUCUAUGCUUGAAAUGUCAAUUGCCUGCGUUGAUAAAGAAAUUUACUUUGGUAAAGAUGAUGAUCCUGAAUCAUGAUCAAUAGUCCACUAUUCAAAAGCAAGACACCAAUCAGGGGAAAACUAAUGAAAUUUGACAAACAACUUGAAUUACAUCAAGGUGAACCCACCCAUUACAGGAAAAAGAAAACUUAAAUCAUUGGAAAAAAAAUGUCACCUUUUAAUGUUACUGCAUAAUGGUUUUGAAUUCUAAGCUAAAAGUCGAGCAUGCUAUUUCAACGUUCUUCAAUAACUAGGAAGAAACCUCCAUGUCUACAAGCAUCCGUAUAGCGAAAGGUCAGAGGCAUUGGUGUUUUUAUGUCGGUAACCAAAUGAUCAAAAGGGUUAACAUAUUUUAUGGUUAAAAAAAACGUUCCAAUAGAGUCUAUAGUUCAAAUGAUUUUUACAAGCCCUAAAACUUUCAGUGUCCAAUUUAUGAUCUGGAAAAAUGCUCCUUUUGUCACCAAAUUUUGAAUCUAGUUUUUAUAUGGUUCCUCAAUUUCAAAUGUUACACCUCACCUAUGAGUUCAGAAUUCAAUUUCUAUGUGUCCCUACAUAAAUCCUAGUUUCCAUAUGAUCCCUAGGUUCCUAGAUUUCAAAAUGUUGCACUUCUGCCCUUGAGUUCUAAAUUUAGUCUCAUUCGGUCUCAGGUCAAUAUUUCAUACUUUUACCCUCCAAUUUUCGUUAAUGCUCAAAUUUGAUCUUCAGUCUUGAAUUUUAACAUUCCGUUAAUUAACUUAAAAUAAUUAUGAUGUAAAUUUUUUUAAUUAAUUUUGAUACUAUGAAAACUUAGUGAAAUUUAAUUUGAAUUAAUUUUUUGGUUUAGAGAAUACAAUCAACAUGUCACUAAGAUAGAGACCAAUUAGAUACAAAAUCAAAAGCCCAUACACCUAGUGAAUACUUCUCAACACUAUGAAUUAUACUGGUUUAUAAUGGUAUUAGAAACUUUUUAGAGUAAAAAUGUCUAAUGGACCCAUCUCAGAAACAACUAAGUUUAAUGACUAAACAUCCUACCUUUAACAAAGAAAGGUAUAAGAAAAAUUGCAAGAGAUUAUUUCUAAGGUGGAAUUCAACAGUAAUGACCCAGAACGUAAACUCACCCGAUCAAGGAAAUAAGUAGCAACUCGUGGGAGCAUUUCUAGUUCGUUCCUUCUACUGUACGUGGCUUGGAAGGCUUCAUCCUUCAACAACUCUUCCACUAAUUGACCAUACACACGUGUAGCAGCCGGGAAUAUGGUGUCAAAGUUCCCUGACACCACGACUUGAAGAAGCAAAUCUGCAAAUCCUUUCAGUUUAGGGCCAAGGGAAUAGAUGUCCUUACGCUCCAACUGAUUUUCAUUCCCUGUAACCACUGAAUAAUGUCAUUUGCUUUGCUCAUUGAACAUCAGAAUAAUAUAGUCAGGAUGAUAUGGUAAUUUAUCUACUGAAAUCUGUCGAAAUAUUUAAUACAAAUGAUCGACUAUCAGGGAAAAGUGAAAAUCAUCUGAAAAUGGAAUUACAACAGACCUGAUGCUGAUGAGCUGGACGGAUCAUUCACUGGUUGUUUAUUUUUCUCAUCCAUCAAAAUCUCUUCUUCGAAACGCUCUCGUCCUUCCAGUAGUAUAGUAAGAUACCAAUACAAGUUCCUUUGAAUCAGUAACUUAAUUGUUUGACGCUCGUCAUCAGAGAAAGGAACUUUAUAUAUUUGUUUGGCCUAAAAUGAAGAAAUGACUACUGGUCAGGAAGUAUAUAGGAUAAGCAUUUCUAUAUCAACAUUAUUCGUUGUACACUAAGGAUGGGAGGUGAAGAAUUGGGUAAAAAUAAGUUCAAAUAAACAUGAGAGACAUAAAGAAGUGGUAUGUAAUGAAUCCCAAGUACAACCAAGAAGGGACCUAACACUCUUAGCACAAUAAUGGUUAAGGGCUUGUCUUUUAUGAAGCAGGCGGCAGGCCCCACUGCAAUGUGCGUUGAGGCUUGAAAUAAAAACCUUUUGGUUUCAAUAUUUGAUUAGGUUGACAAGAGUGUGAAUAUGUGAAGAGGACAGCAGAAAGAAAUCAUAUAUUGGUGACAUAUAUGAACUUUACUAUGAAUUAAAAGCCUUUUCUGCAAGCCAUCUGCUUUCUUGACACAAGACUUUCAGGCAAAUCAAUGAACUUUAUUAUGAAUCGAAAUAUUUAUCAAAACAAUGAUCAAACAAGAACUAAAAUUAAGAUUAACAUCAUAAAUAGUAAGAAUUUUAACACGAUCAUAGGUAGAAGUUUUAAGAAGCAUAAAAUGUAGUACUAUAACUGAAAUUACCUGCUUGAAUAUGGUACUCGUGCCAGAUUUUUUGUGGCCAACAAGGAGAAGUUUAUGAAGUACUUUCUGCUCGUAAGAAACAGAUUUAGCUCCGUCCUCUAUUUCCUCUCCAGUACGAACAGAAUUAGAAGGAAUAGGCAAAGAAUAAAGGGCACAUGCAAGCCUCGUUCUAGUCUGCAGAGAUAGGUGAAUUAGUUGUUCUUGCAAAUUUGAUGUAUAUAAGAUAGAGCAGGAAAAACCAAACUGAACAUCAUCGCAUAAGGUUUACCUUGUCCCAUAUUUUUCCCCCAUUGUUCAUUCCUUCUUCCUGGUAUGAUCCAUCUGCACUAACCCAAAAAGAAGGUCUUCCUUCACAAGGCACUCCAGCCAGCUGCAAGCAACAUGAUCUCAUUUGUGUUAUUUGCGCAUACUUUUAUAUUUCAAUAAAGCUAAACUAAAUACGAACACUGGGUAAAAGAAAACCUUCAGUAUCCGGAGCUCGUUUUUAGUGAUCUCUCGAUUAUUGAUGCACACAUUCGUAUUGCCAUUGCUAGCAUUCCUCUUGAUCCGACCUCCAACUUCUAGCUGGGAGCUAACUAUCUGACUCGGUCCAUGUCCUUCCUGUUCAGUUAAAAACAGAUCAAAAAGUUUCUCAUGGUGCAAAUCGCUUCUUCUACAUGCUCAAAAGAUAAAAUAAUAUCAAUCAAUCAAAGAGAGAGGACCUUUCCCCAGAAGCCUGAUUCUUUGUCAUACCAAUAUUGUCCUGGUUUUAGAUUCUUUGGUGGCUUUCGACAACUUCGCAACGUAAGCAGUUCCUGUCGACUUAAAGGAUCGCCAUUGACGUAGAUAAGUCUUGCUGGUAGUUGGUUUAUUUCACACUCUUUCUCAUGCAACAUUGCGCUCUUAAUUUCAUAGUCAGAAAGCAACCUCUUGAGCACUUUAGAGCUUUUACCCAAGUUCUCCCUUCUUGAUUCAUCAAUCCUAUACCCAAUGCAAGAGAUACACUUCCUUCCUUCUGGCAUUGCUCCCAUUGCUCUGAUUAUACAAUCAAAGCAAUAUUUGGCUCCACAAACAAUGCAUACUUCCUUUUCAGUGAAACGGUUUCCUUUAAGGCAGAAGUAGCAUGAUCCUUUUUUUCCCUUCCUUUCAGCUCGAGGCAUCUCUUGAAUGCUUUCACCCUCAAAUUGACUUGACUCAGCCUCUUCAGAAAUCGUGUUGCUCGUAUGGGGAUCAAGAAAGGUAACAGCUGAUGGCCUUCUGCCAUGCCUACGCGUAGUUUCAUAGUCAACUUCCUCUUCCUCUCUUACAGCAAAAAUUCCAGAAGACGAACUCAAACCCGAUUCUACUGAUUCCGAGUCGCUGGAAUUCGUAUAGCCUUGAAAAUCCUCUUCAUUCUUAAUUUCCAAUGAUUCUACCCCUCCUAUUCUUCCUUUCAGCUCAUUGAAAUUCUCAAGUUCACCAGAACUUUCAACUCCAUCACACGAAUCGAUAUUACAUUUAUCUUCCUUAUUGGCAUGGAGGCAAACAACCCCAUCUUCCUGGAUUUCUGAAGUUGAAGAAAUUACAGAAUUAGGGCUGGAACUUGAACCCUUCUUUAGUUUCUUAACAAUGGGUUGUAUCACAGGCAGAGAUGAUAAAUCAUCACUGAAUUGAGAUGAUGAAAGAACCACAGAAGCCGUUGGAAUAUAAUCAACAUUUAUAGGAACUGCACGAGGAAUCUCGUAACUAAUUCCAGGACCUUUAUACUCCAUGGCAAAAGAAUAUUCACCAGUAAAAUCCACAUGAUUAACAGGAGAAGAAGGCUUCUCGUGAAAAAGUUUUUUAAGAAUCCCAGCCAUAACUCAACAAUUCAACAACACAAAUUUUAACACAACAAAUCUAACGAUUUAAACAAUUACAACCCAACCCCAUCAAGCAUAACCAAUCAAACAAGCCCACAAAACAGAGAAACAAAAGAUCGAUCAAUCAUCAAAUCCAAAUGAUCGAAGAGAAAAAAGCUCCCAGUGGAGGAAAAUAUCGAAAGAAGAAGUUACAAUUGUGAAUUAGUAGGAACCCAUGUUCAAGAAAGUCGAAUCAGAAGACUUUUUGACAGUGGGGUUCAAGGAAAACGAGUGUGCUGUUAAAGAUAAUAAUAAAAAAAAAAAAUGGUGGGAAUGGAAAUGCUAUACUCAGUCAACACAAAGACUAGAGAGAAGACUUUGGAUUAGUAGAAAAAUGGGUUCAAUGGUGGAAAAGAACGCGUUCAAGUAAGAAGAAAACUGACAAGAAAGGGACAUAAAAGAGGAAAUUUAAGAGAGAAAGUGGAAAAGAAGGUAGGUGUUGGUCAUUAUUAUAAUCAAUUACAUUACAAUACGUCAAAUUAGAAAAGCAGAGAAAUUACCAGUCCCUUCCUUCCUUCCUUCCUUCCUUCCUUCCUUACUUCAUUCCACGUUUUUGCUUCCGAUUUGUCUAAGAUGAACUCAAAAUUGAAAGGCAAUUAAGAACAGUCUGCCACUGAGAGAAGGAAAUAUUGCUUUGAAUUUAUUUGUCGUGCCUAACACGAGAGCGGAUGUGUGAGAAAUUUUACCGUAUUCUCCAUAGCUUUAACAAGAAAUCUGUUGUACUGUUGUAACUUUGAGAGAAUUUCUUACAUUUCUUGUUCUUGGUUCUGCAAAGGGUUCCAUGAUUAUUGAAUUCAGUACAUUAUAAUUAAUAUGCAAAGUUUUUAAGACUGAAACAUUACUUUUUUUCUUUUAUAUUUUUAUUAUUUUAUUACAACUCAAUAAAUUUAUAUAUAUAGCAAAACUUCUACCUUUUAUUUUCAUUUUCAUUUCAACUCUUUUUAUUUAUUUUUAACUAUGCUAAAAUCCAAAUAUGGAAACCAUAAAAUAUAAUAUAUAAAUAAAUUAGAUAUGUAAGAAAAUUCAAAUUUCUCUACCUCCUCUCAAUUUCAUUGAUUUAUAUAUGUGUCUCACGAAUCUACUAAAUGUCACUAUUUAUACACAAUUUGGUAGGCAUGAACUAGAUUACAUGACAAUGUGAGUAUCAUCUAGACUUUUGUUAAUGGUGUUGAAUGAUUAAGAAAUUGACAUGUGGUGGACAUCUAUUUAUUUAGUAUUUAUAAUAUUUUUUUUUUCAUUUGUACGACCUUAUAGAAUUAAAUACUUUUUCUUAUU